rnacentral:lncRNA from 1 species
UAAAUAUUCCUCUAACUUUAGCGUUCCAAUUCUUACACAGAUUCAAGCAGUAAACUGUGGGUAACCAUGAGAGAAUAUUACUGCUAUAAAUUCCAUGCAAGACCAAGCAUAUUCAACCCAAUAUUGCAUGGUGGUAGACUUUUUCAGCAGUUUGCCGUUGAUACAUACAUCAAGAUUGAGAGCUCCAGAUUGGACUUCAUAUGGCAUUAUCAGAAAGAAAUAAGGGCAGAUCUAUACAAAGGCCUCCUGGAUAGCAUUCAAGAAGGAGAACAAAAGGGGGAUAAAGUAGGAAAAUGAACGGUGCUAGCAUCAUCAUUUAUUGGAGGGCCAAGAGAUAAAUUGUGACGAUAUCUAGAUGCUAUGGCUUUAGUACGCAAAUAUGGAAAGCCAGACAUAUUCCUAACAAUGACAUGCAACCCAAACUGGGAAGAGAUCACCCGAGAACUAGAGUUUUCACAAACACCUCAAGAUCGCCUAGAUCUCGUGGUUAGGGUUUUCAGGGCAAAACUAGAAGAAAUGAAGAAUCAAUUGUUUAAAAAGCACAUUCUUGGAAAGGUAAAGGCAUAUACCUAUGUUGUAGAGUUCCAAAAGAGAGGCCUACCUCAUGCACACUUCUUGCUGAUAAUGACCGGAAAAUACAAGUAUACAUGUCCAGAGCAAUAUGACAGAAUAAUCUAUGCCGAGCCGCCAGACAAGCACGAGUAUCCAGAUCUAUAUAAAAUGGUCAUCAAACAUAAGAUGCAUGGUCCUUGCGGCAUAUUAAAUAGAAAUUGCCCUUGCACAAAGAAUUGAGCAUCUUGCAAAAACAAUUAUCCAAGACCAUUUAAUGAAACUACAAUUCAAGGCAAGGACUCCUACCCAUUGUAUAGAAGAUGAAAUGACGGUCGCACCGAAACAGUCCAGAACUGUAAACUAGAUAAUAGAUGGGUUGUUCCUUACAACCCAUACCUAUUGCGCUUUUUCAACUGCCACAUGAAUGUUGAGGUAUGCUCAAGCAUUAAAGCCGUCAAGUAUCUGUUCAAAUACAUCUACAAGGGACAUGACCGGGCCUCUGUAUCUGUAACUGGAGCAGAUGCUGAAGGAGAAAUUGAUGAAAUUAGACAGUACAGAAACGCACGGUGGGUUACACCUCCAGAAUUAAGCAUGCAAGUGCUGAGAGCCGAUAUAUAUCUUUGACUCUAUUGGAAGUGUUUGAAGUGAGCAAUACAUCAUUUUAUAGAAAUCCAAUCCAUCCGAUCACAUUAAAAUUCAUGAGACAAGUCUCUCUGUCCCCGUUAAGUCAUAUAUGAAGGGUCAAAACAAACAGGUAUAAAAAACAUUGACUAGUACAUAAACCGUAUGUAUAAUUGGUGGUAGGUUUGCCGGUAUGUAAAAGUAAUAUUGUUUAUGCGGAUCUAUCUAUUUAUCCUAUAGUAAUCACAGAUGCUAUAGAAAAUCCCACGUUAACGAGAAAGAGAAAAUAUCUAGCCAUUGAUCCAUCGUGGCCCCCUUUUUUUAGCCGUUCAGAUUUAAAAAAGUACAAUUACUUAUUAGUUACUUGCAUUUGGUUAACUUUGCUAGGUUGUUCUAAGGAUAAUAGGUGCAAAUGGACGGUGGGGCCACUGGUGGACGUGCGUUCCUUGCCAGGGCAUGCCUACAUGAGAACUAAGGAAGACCGGCUGUGUGGACGUGGAGGAUGUGAUAUUACACGAUGCUGGAACAUGGACCGUUGCCAUGUUAAUCCUCUUGUACAAAUUAAAAUUCAUUACAAUUUUUAGGAAAAAUAUGUAUGAAUGUAUGAUCCGUUAGAGGAAAAGUGAAUAGGACGGACCAAAAUGUUGGAUCCUUUGUUGGAAAAAUGGUUUGAAUUUUGGCAAUGUAAGUAUUUCCUUGAUUUUGAGAGAGAGCCAAAUAGGAUUACAUUAUUUGUUAAUGUUCGUCUCAUAUUGAUUUUCAACCUUAAAAAAUGAUGCACUAUUUCAACUACAAUCACAUUAAACGAAACAUAAAAUUCGAUCCAUCUUGGCCUCUCGAGCUAUGUGAGUAGGAGAACAGCAUAGCAAAGAUAAACGAUCUAAUUAAUCUUCCUAGGAAGAGCUUUGAACUCUUGGAAACAACAAAAUAAAAUCAUUCAAUUCGAUUGGCAAAGUGACAAUACAUCAUCGGCACAAUGAUCAGAAAUAGCGAUUCUUGGUGAGGUACAAAUGUAUGAUCCAUUGUCGGGAAAGUAAAUAGGACGGACUAAACUUUUUGUCACAUAUUGAUUUUCAGCCACUAAAAAAAGCAAUGAGGUAAGAUAGUCAUUUGUUUCUAAAUACACAGUACAACAUAGUUAUUGUUUCUAGUCCGUUGCGGUGCGGUGGGAUAAGAAUAAAUAAUCACAUGACAAGACAUGGCAUGGGAGGCUAUGACGCAUCAUCAUGACUAGGGAAAACCAAAAGCACCAAGGAUGAUGAACAGAUUCUUGCCGAUGUCCCAUCACAGAGCAAAUAAAGCAGGAUAAAGGGGAUUGAUCUCGAACUNNNNNNNNNNNNNNNNNNNNNNNNNNNNNNNNNNNNNNNNNNNNNNNNNNNNNNNNNNNNNNNNNNNNNNNNNNNNNNNNNNNNNNNNNNNNNNNNNNNNNNNNNNNNNNNNNNNNNNNNNNNNNNNNNNNNNNNNNNNNNNNNNNNNNNNNNNNNNNNNNNNNNNNNNNNNNNNNNNNNNNNNNNNNNNNNNNNNNNNNNNNNNNNNNNNNNNNNNNNNNNNNNNNNNNNNNNNNNNNNNNNNNNNUGACGUGGUGGCGGCUCCACUUCUUCUGGUUCUCGCCCCUCAGGGGGUGGACCCAGGACGUGGUCCUUGACCUCAUUCAGGAUCCCCCAUCAAUGCCUCGUUCCGGGGUAGACAGGGCAUGCGAAGGUGUUGUCAGCGCGGCGAAAGACGUGUAGAGCAUCGCCUCGGGGGAAGGGCGUGUGGUAGCCGCGACGCCGGUUGUCAGAUGAGUCCGUCAGUUUGGGAGUCAGAGUUGAACCCAUCAGCUAGAAGGGUCACAAUCAGGGUCAACAUCUGAUGCGGUGACGAGGGCGUGAGGGUGGAGGAAGCCGCCCCCACCGUCGGAGGAGCCAUGGAACGCACCGCGGAGCCCACAAUAGCUCCGCAGCGACCAUCCACGAGUGACAGCAGGUUGAGGUUGGCGGCGUUGGAGAGCGAUCCCGACAACGAGCGCAAUGGCCACCUGAGGUCGCUGGCGUCAGAGUGGGAUACCGACGAGGAAGUGCCGCCGUAGCGGGACGACCCCACCGCGUGGACGUAGCGCCAUAGCGCUGCCGUGAAGUUGCGGGCAGUGGCGUGGCAGUAGCACAGCGACAACCCGCCACAGGAGCGCGACGACGAUGAGGAGGACCUUUAGUCCUGAAUGAUUAGUUUCGGUUGAUUUUUCGAGAGAUAGGAGGCUUACCAAGCAGAACUAAUGCUCAUAUUUUCCAAACUAAUGCUCAUAUUUCCACUAGUGAGUGCAAGGUUCCCUCCACGCAUAAGACGAUUUAUCCACCGUGGUUCCUAACCACGAGUAGAAAUGCACACAUUUACUAGGGGCGGUUCCUUAAGAGAAGUGUAUUUUCUAGGGGCAGUUCCUUAAGAUAAGUACCGAUAGAAAUCUGGUAGUGUUCAGGUACAAUGCGCGAAAGCAACUGCUAGUGACUGUAGAUAACGAUAUCCAUCGAUAGAAAUAAAGGCUAGUAUCACAUCUAAAAACUAGCUUUGAUAUUCAGCUCAGAUCCGUGCCUCUAACUUUUCGUGCUCAUUAUAUAAAUCAUAAAUUUCCUAAAAAAUUAACAGAAUCAUACAUAAAAAUCCAGAAUGUUUAUCAAAAGGUAAGAUUCAAAUCAGUGGUAGAUGUUCAGGAUUAACAACUUUCUUACUCCACAUAUUUUUGUUAGGUGAGGAGGCAUUGCAAGUUUGCAACUGUUGAAUGAAAUCCGUACUGCGAUGGAACUAGGAGGUAGUUGGUUUGAAGUAUAUACCAUUUAGAUAUCCAAUAAUCCUUCCUUUUAUUUCAAUAAAAAUAUUGGUUCCACGAUCAUCUAGGAGUAUGGUCUUGUACUCUCUUCUUGUUCGAGCUUUAUGUGAAUCCAACCCUAUGGAGCCACACCCCCAUCAAUGCCACGUGUCCCAAAUUGCUAAUCUCAACCAUCCCUUUCAUUUCUCACCCACUAACUAUACGGGAGUAAUGAGAAGUUAAAGGGACGAUUGAGAUAAGACAUGUGGCAUCCAUCAAGAUAGGGAUCCUACAUGGAACUGAAUUCAAUGCUUGAUAUCGAACCUGUCCUGAAGAUGAAAAGUUUCUCUAUAAAUUUAGACGUCCUAAACUUCAAUUCUUGUGCACACAGAAUAUACUCGCAGUCGUAGGCUCGUAGCUUAUAGACAAAUGACAUUGCAAGCAAUGGCGUUGCCCUACUUGCAAGAACUAGUCAUCUCCACACUUCUCGUUGUAUCAUUGUGCAUGUACAUUAAGUUCUGGAGGCUGAGAAACCCGUUGUACCCCAUGGACUGGCCGGUUGUGGGCAUGCUCCCUUCCAUCGUUGCCAAUCUCCACAACUUCCACGACGUACUCACUGUCUUCCUUGCCACCAACGGGUGUAACUUCAAGGCGCGAGGGCCGGUAGCAAGUGGCAUGCGGUUCUUCGUCACCGCUGAACCGGCAAACGUCCGGCACAUCUUCACCUCCAACCAUGCAAACUACCCCAAGGGCGAGGAUUUUGCUGAAAUCUUCGACAUCUUUAGCGGCACCCUCUUCACCAUUGAUGGUGAGGCCGGCCGCCAGCAGAGAGCCAUGUUCCAGAACAUCUUCAGCAAUCCACGGUUACUUGCCUUGAUGGCAAGUUGCUGCCGUGACAAGGUGGUGAACGAACUCCUCCCGUUCUUGACCCGCAUGGGGAGCACCAGGACAACGUUCGACAUGCAGGAUUUGAUCACAAGGUUGGUGUUCGACCUUACUGCCACGCCGAUCUUCGGUGUCGACCCGGGUUGCCUGUCCAUCAGCAUGCCGUCUAUCCAUGUUGCAACCGCCAUGGACACGUUCAUGGAGGUCGGCUUAUUCCGGCACACCAUGCCGGCUUGUUUCUGGAAGGUGAUGAGACGGCUAAACAUCGGUCCAGAGAGGAAGCUGGCCAUGGCGCAAACAGUGAUGCAUGCUUUCAUCAGGGAGAUGACUGAGAAGCCGAAAGCCAGGUGCGCCGAUCUCCUUGAUGAUGUGUUGGCCAUGGACAUUAUUUCUGCUAACCCAUCAGUGGGCAGAGACGAUGUCCUACAACGUAAUGUACUCAUCGGUUACAUGAUCGCCGGGCGGGACACGGUUGGUACCACGCUACCGUGGGUAUUCUACAACCUCGCCAGGAACCCCCGUGUGGUCUCUUGCAUCCGCAAGGAACUGGCACCCAUCGCAUCACUCAAGACCACUGCUCUCGCCUCCAAUAGCAUCAGCAGUAUGGUCGUCUUUGAUCCAAAGGAGACUGAACACCUAGUUUACCUUCAGGCAGCCUUAUUGGAGUCGCUCAGGUUGUACCCACCAGGCCCGAUCGAGCGCAAGGUGGUGCUAGCCGACGAUGUGCUCCCAAGUGGUCACCAGUUGUGCUCCGGUGAAACCAUCCUGAUCUCCAUCUAUGCCAUGGGUAGAAUGGAAUCCCUGUGGGGCAAGGAUUGCCAUGUGUACCGUCCGGAGAGGUGGCUGUCCGAGGACGGUGCUAAACUGCGUUACGUUCCGUCCAAUAAAUUCAUGGCGUUUAACACAGGGCCGAGGAUGUGCCUUGGCAAGGACAUAGCAAUUGCGCAGAUGAAGACCAUCGUUGCCGCGGUGGUGUGGAACUUUGAUAUGGAGGUGUUGGAAGGGCAGAGCAUCGAGCCAAAGCUGUCGUGCAUUCUUCAAUUGAAGAACGGGCUCAUGAUGAUGGUUAAGCAGAGAGAGUAAUCAAUGUGACAUGGAAUGAGCUAGGUGCAAUGCAACUACAGAUCGACUCAGUCCUGGCAUAUAUGGUUUGAACAAAAUAGUUAAAUCCAAACUUAUAAUGAAGUAAAUGGAAGCGUAACAUGUAUUUUCGUCAUUAAAUAAAGUCUACGGACGCCGUCGUCUGGCCAUCUGAAAGCUGGGAUCAUACCCAACUACAGACUCUUUGAUUUCAGUACUGAUAGUUUGUACUACUCCCUCUUUCUAAAUAAGUGAUGUUUUCAGAUUAUCUUAAGCUUAUUUGAAACUUUGAUGGCAUAUUAAUUGUUUUUCUAUGUGUAAAAGGUAUACGAGUAUAUUUAUGUUUAAUAGUAACUUCAUCAAAAGCAUCCGUUCACUUUAUGAAUAUUUUGUGACAAAAACUAGCCAUCACAGUUAUGUUUUUGAGGUAAUUUCAAUAUCAAAAACUUCAUUUAUGAGACCGGAGGAACUAACAUACAAAGACAAUGAAUGUAAAUACAAUAUGCCCUCCGGUGUCCUGGACUUCAUAAGUUGUAUCUGCAAUACUCAAGAGUGAAACGAAAGAGGGCGAUGUCAAUUUGAGUGUAUCUAAAGAGACUUAAAACAUUCAAAUGAUGAAUAUAAAUUGUAUCAAAUCAUAGUCCCUAUUAUACUUAUAUAAUUAGUACAAUUUAUUUAAGUUGGAACAUACUUUUUUUUUACCGUGUCUUGAUCCAAGUGCGCAUGUGGGUUUUGCAUGUUUUUCCUUGGUAGGAGGCACCUGACUAAUGCGGUGUCUGGAACCUUGGUUACUCCUUUUUAUUGAUUUCCUUCCUUAAGCUACCUGAGCACCCUAGAAUAGUGAUGGGCUGCCAAGGUAUUGGAUCAAAUGAAUUCAGACACCUCUAUGUAUUUAAGGUAUUGGUGUGAGUAGCGUGUAACGACUGAUUCUGUGCUGAGUCGUACCAACCAUAUCGAGGCUUUGUGCACGCUAGCUCAUUCAGGGUGAAAGUCUGCCCCGUCCGUACAUGAUAAGCUCGAGAGUCGAGACAUUGAUUCGGCAGCUGCCGUACGUGUAUGUCUUUGUCCUUCCAUUUGCUGUACGUGUACGUGCUCGUUCCGUUGGUGCUGUGGACGGAGAGCGGCUACUUAGGCAUGGACUUCUGCCGAAUCCGCAUGAUGGACAACGUCAACCAGGCCCUCGACGCCGCCUUGCCCCCGCCUUGCCCCGCGAUGAUUAGGUAGAUCGGAGGAUGUUUUUCUCGUGUUUUACCGUUGCAUUUGGUAGAUCGGAGGAUGUUUUUCUCGUGUUUUACCGUUGCAUUUGGUAGAUCGGAGGAUGUUUAGGUGACUUAGGGUUAGGUAGAUGAUUUCAAUUUUGAAUGAAAUGCAAUGGUGUUUUGUGUUAGAUGAUACGUAGUUCAGACGCAAUUGAGUCGCUGCCCGCGAUAUUGACAUGUAGAACUUGUCGAUUUAGGUAUAUAUUCAUUGAAUUGUGUAGUUGAUAUGACAUGUAUAUUUUUUGUUUGCAAUUUGUCCAAUAUGUGUAAUGUGUCUAGUUGAUAUGUCGAAUAUGUGCAAUGAGUAGUGUAUAUGACAUGGUGAAAUGUUUGUAUUUUGUAGAUGGAUCGUUUAGUUCGAUUUUUUGAUGGUGGUGUUGUGAAACAAAAUGGGGAGUUAGAGAAUAUGAAUGAAUCAAUUGAAUUCUUCGAGGGUCCUCCAAGUUUUAGUGAUUUAGUUGACCGUGUAAUGAGGAAGUAUGGAUGUAGAGUGGAUGAGAUCAGUUUGAGAGGUCGUUUUGAUUGUGGGAAAGCUAGAGCUCAUUAUGUUCUCAUGAAGUUAGCAUCCGAUGCGAAUUGGAAGCACUAUAAGGAUGUAGUUCACGAAGCUAAUGUUGCAUGUUUGGAGGUUAUAGUCGAAAUUGUUCGUAUGCCUGACCCAAAUGUUGUCAUGAGGGAGGAAGUGGCAGUAGUGAACCAUAAUGGUACCUAGGAGUCAGAAAUGUUGCAUCACGUGUUAGGUGAAACAGAACGUGAUUUUGACUUGGCUAUUGCCAAUGAUGAUUUUCCCAAUAACGUUUUUGAGAGGGAUGAAGCAAAUAUAGAUGUCGAUAAUAUCUCUAUGGGUUCUGAAGAUUGUGAAUUCGAGGAAGAUGGGGUAGUAGAUGUCGAUAAUAUCUCUAUGGUGAGAGUCCAGUGAUUAAGAAGGGGAUGAAGUUCAAUAGUCUUGAGGAAUUGAAGUUUUUCUUGGCUGACUACGCAGUGAGGUUACAUAGACCUUUUAGCAUAGUUCACUCUAACAAGAACUUAAGAUACAAUGUGAUGUGCAAGCAAGGAUGCCAUUGGCGUGUAUGGUCUCGGCUAAUAUCAAGCACCGGAUAAUGGAGAAUUUCAAAUGUUGUGUAACCGCAUACUUGUCGGUCGUCACAGCCAAAAUGAGAGCAUGUACAGUGCACAGCAAAGUACCUUGGGCGGCGUAUCCUAGGCAUUAUCCGUAAAGACAGCGAGACAUCGGUGCCAUCCCUCGUGAAGUCCAUCUUCGCCUUUAGUGGGUACCGUGUGAAGUAUUCGAAGGCUUGGCGGGCGAAGCAACACGCCGUUGCCCUGCUUUGGGGCGACUGGAAGGAGUCGUACGGCAUGGUUCCUAGGGUACUCUCAGCUAUAACCUACUACAAUCCCGGGGUUAAAUGGUGCAUCGACUCAUGUGGCAUGAUGCAUCCUGACAAUGGAGUUUUGAAGCAUAUACUGCAAAGGGUAUUUUGGUGCUUCCCUCAAUGUAGUGAGGCAUUUCAACAUUGCCGUCCUGUGAUACUUGUGGAUGGUACAUUCUUGACUGGCAAGUAUAAUGGUACAUUAAUGAUGGCAGUUGGUGUAGAUCCAAAAUAGUAGCUUGUGCCUCUUGCUUUUUCCUUGGCCGAGAGUGAGAAUAAUGAGAGUUGGUCAUGGUUUAUGAAACUUGUUCGGCGACAUGUUCUUGGACCUUUACGGAUAGUGUGUAUGAUAUCAGAUAGGCAUCAUGGGCUCCUAAAUUGUACGAAGGACCACAUGGAUGGUUUUCCACCGCUUGUGCAUAGGUGGUGCACGAGGCACUUUGCUGCCAACAUGUCGCGUCGGCAGAAGAGCAACCGUGUGAUUGGAAAAUUGAAGAUAUUAUGCAAGGUUCAUACGGAGAGAGAAUUUAGUGAGAAGUUAGAAGAUCUAGUGAAGGACUUGAACGAUGACGCAAAAGAAUGGUUGAAGGGUGAAAUGGAGGACAAGGAUAAAUGGGCGUAGGCUUUCGAUGAGGGAGGGAUGCGUUGGGGUAUUAUGACCACGAACUACUCGGAAUCACUCAACGCAGUUUUCAAAGGCAUCCGAAGUAGGCCCGUCUCUGGAAUUAUUGAAUACUCAUUCGAAAAAUGCAACGCCUACUUUGUGGACCGAUAGCAAAAGGCACGUGCAAUGUUGGAUGAAGGCUAUAGAAUUGGGAAAGUUGCAGAUGAUUAUUUAUUAGAGGCUGAGCUUAGAUCCGUGCACCACUUAGUAGAACCGUACGGGCCAGAAAGGAUGGUGUAUUCUAUAAGAAGUUACGGUACGACUAACAUUGGGGGUGAGAGUCAUGGAGGCCGACACUACAGAGUGGAUCUGAAUGAAGUUUCGUGCACCUGCAAUGUUCCACAAUUGUUGCACCUUCCAUGUUCACACUUCAUUACAGCUUGCAAGGCAAGAGGUCUUAACUAUGAAAGCCCCUUGUACAUGUCACCGUUGUACUCUAGGGAGCACACCGUACAAAUAUGGGAAUCAAGCUUUCAACCUUACCUUGAUCCGUCACAAUGGCCGGCAUAUGAAGGGGUAGGGUACGUGCCUAACCCCAAUUUGAUGAGAAAUAAAGUAGGAAGGAGGCAGAAGAAGCAUUUCACAGGCGACAUGGACGUGUCGGAAGGGAGGUUUUCUGCAGAUUAUGGCACUGGUGAUUUUGAUGUGGACAAGUCGGAAAAUCGUUGCUCGAAGUGCCCCAAGAUCAUUAGGAAUUACACGUGCCGCAAUAGAAAAUCUAAAGGCACGAAAUCUAGGGGGAACAGUAAUAGGCCGCGUUCUUCGAACAAUAGGGUAUGCGCGUUGCUCGUAUUUUGCAUGGUUAUCAUUUUAUCUUUUUUUAUAGUAGUAAAUUAUGAUAGUUACCGUACUUAUCAUAUAAUAAAGCUUUUUACUAAUGAUCUUGUUUGUUGUUUCUUUAGGAUGGCGGCCCUGGCGUACCCUCUUCUUGAGUCGGCUUACGGCUUGCAGCACCGUGCCCACCACCUCGCGGACCUAAAUGAGGUACUACAUCAGUUAUUAACAAUGGUUGGUAAUUUAUGCUAAUGAAUGCAUACCUUAGGAUGAUAAUUGCAAGAUUUUUGUAUGAAAUGUUCUUACAAAUUGAGGAUGUGCCUGUCGUUACUAUUUGCUUGUGUACAAUGUAAACAAUUUCAUACUGGAAAUGUCAUUUAUAUCAUAUUUGUGUUACUUACCACUUUAGUAGCCCUUUAUUCUCAAAUGCAUUGACUUCUCAUUUUUGUAAUAAUCUUAUAAUGUUUUGCAGGAUUUGAAACCACUCGGGGCUAAAGUGCACUCACCACUUAGGUGGGAUGAGCGGUACGCGGAGUACUUGCAGAGAGCUGGUUUUUUGGAUCUCGCUGUUCAGGUUGUCGCGGGUCUCCCUCCAAUGGACGGACCGCUGUUGACCUCUAUGGUCGACAGGUGGCGUCCAGAGACUCACACGUUCCACCUCCCGUUCGGAGAGAUGACCAUCACAAUGCAGGAUGUCGCUAUGAUACUCGGUCUUCCACUGGAUGGGCAGCUAGUGACGGGAAUUAUACAGAAUGAGAAUUGGCAUGAUAUGGUUGAAAUGCAUAUUGGGAUUAGGCCACCAGAGCCAGAGGACGGAGACAACUCCAAGAAGACCUCCGGUGUCAGCUCGGCAUGGUUGAGGGAGCACUUCAACGUUUGUCCUCCGGGAGCAAAUGACGGGGUUCUGCAGUGAUAUGCUUGAGUUUGGCUAUGGCACUUUGUCAGCACAUUCCUCCUUCCAGAUGCAGCUGGGAAUACAGUGUCUUGGAUGGUUCUCCCCAUUUUGGGUCAGCAUUGGGACAACAUAGCCCUUUAUAGUUGGGGCUCAGCGGUUCUUGUCUGGCUGUACAGGCAGCUAUGUGAGGCUUACAGGCGCACCGCGAGGGAUUCCAAUGUUGGAGGGUGCACCUAUAUGCUGCAGAUUUGGAUUUGGGAGCGAAUGCCUGUGGGUUGACCUUCCCGUCUUCGUGUCGAUGUAAGUCACAAUGGCUAAUUCCCUUUUCUGCUUUAAUGUUCGGAAAACUGUUGUAUCAUGUGACCAAUUGGACUUGCAAUUUCAGCCAUGGCAUCGAGACGAUGCUCAUCCCACAUUCUACCAUGUGUGGAAGCAUGUGCGGCCCGUUCGUGGUAAUGCUGAUAGGCGCUACAGGGCCUACACAAACGAGUUUGAUGUUGUCACGCAGUACCAGGUAAUUUGCUCACCAGAGUUUGUUAAGCUCACUUCCGUAUAAUGAUAGAUGAAAUAAGUAUUGUGUAAAAAUUUUUGAGGGUUGAAUGGAAACCGUACGACCGUGAGCAGCUAAGCCACAUCAUAUUUUCACCGAUGUGCUACAGAGACAGAGAGCUGUGGAGGUGCACGACGCCAAUGAUAUUGUACUACGUCGUAGAGUUUCAUAUGCUGCAUAGGGUGAUGCGGCAGUUUGGGAGGAUGCAACCGUGCCCUCCUUUGGAAUUAUCGACUUCGCAGCAGCUGCACAAGUAUGCAGGAAUAAAUAACUAUUGGAGGUUAUUCGAUACACGAACUGAACAUGUUAUACUAAUACUUCACUAAUCUCUGAUGCAGGAUCGACCGCAGAAAGAGGUAUAAGGAGAAUGAUUGGAGGGUGAAGUAUGGUCAGUACCUCGUCAUGUGGGAGAAUAAGCAAGGAUGCGAUCCUGAAGGUGGACUGGCGACCAGGACCAAACAAUGAGUACAUACGAUGGUAUUGUACAUCGACGAGAACUAAAGUGAAACCAUUUUGGAGUAAUGUGCCCAUUGAGGAUGCACCGUUUGACUCAGACGCCGACAUAGCUGAUGCGUAUGACACGGUGACACGCUAUGGGACACAGCCUGAGCGUGCACCUCUCCACGACUACAUGGUAAGAUUUCGGUUUGUAAUCAUAGUAUCGUAACAUUGAUCACUCAUGGAAUGAAAACUAUGCGUACAGGGACAGCAGCUUGCAAGGCUCUCAAACAAGGCGGGUGUGGUUAUGGAGCACGCCGUCGGAUCCGGUGAUGGUCUGCUUCGUCAGUUUGCAGAGGUAGAAGCCCAACCUAAUUUUCACUUAUACUCGUACUACCUUUGUAACCCUAUCAAUAUCAUAGUCGUGAAUAUAUGCUGCUUACAUGUUGCAGAGGAUUCGGAAAAGCUGCAGGCGAAUGGCCAUGAGGAUGAACUGCAUGUCGUCCUCAGAUGUGCACCACGGGGGCAAUGGCCAGGGUACUUCUUCGGGAUCACGUCGGACUCCAUUGGCGACUCCCCCCAAGGCUGCAACACCGUCCACUGCUGCAGGUCCUAGCAGGAGAUCCGAGGCAAGAAACCCGCAUCCCCUCAGGCAAGCGAGGACUCUGAAGGUGAGCAGUCUGAGGAUGACGACCCUACAUAUGGUGAGGAACUGGAGAUUUCCGGCAUGAUCGAUGCUCCACCUGUGACUCAGACACAGGGUGAGUCCAGCCAGGUACAUUCACAAGUUUCCCCAAAUUCAAUUCUAGAUUGUUAAUGUUCACUCCCGAAGUGUCAUACAAAUUUUAUGCUUUGUGCCCAAUUAUUCCAUAGGAACCUGCACCUCCUACCCGGAUGCCACGCCGGCGGCGUCUUUCCCGGGACCAUACCGACGUUGGCAGCGCCAAUGUGCUGCCCACGCAUCCAAGGAGGGAGCGUCGCCCAAGAGAUCCUUUUAGCCCUCCGGUUGAGCGGCGGUCAUGACACUGAACGUUACAUAUCUCAAGUGUGAUGCACUAGGUGUGCAAUUUAUGUUAUAUGUGUGUGCAAGACUAUUGGAACUGUCACGUGUGUAAAAGACUAAGUUGGUUGUUAGGUUUAUUUCUGUCACGUGUGUAAAAGACUAAGUUGGAUGUUAGGUUUAUUUCUGUCCGUAUAAUGUUAUAUGUUUGCUCCAUGACAUACUUGUGUUUCGUGUAUUUUUUCGUAAAUGUUCGCACUGGUAGGCUAUCGCGUACUAGACGAGAUACGGAAUAAUUUCGUGGUUCAAACUAGUUUAAGAAAAAUCAGAACAAAAAAAGCUAUUUAAGUUUCAUCAGCCGGAUUGCUGGGGCAGCUGAGUCGGCGGUAGUCUAGCAGCCCAGAAACCUACUGAAACUUUAAUGGAUUUGGCACGGGAGGGCACCCCUGCCGCCCCAGGCGGAGUGGCGCGGCAGCCCCCAUCCACCAAAACCUACUGAAAACUUUGUGCAAAUGGCGCGGCAGCGCACUCCUACCGCGCCACUCCGCUUGGCACGGCAAGCCCCCCCCCCCAAAAAAAAAACCUACUCAAACUUUGUUUCGCUUGGCGCGGCAGCGCACUCCUGCCGCGCUAGGCGGAGUGGCGCGGCAAGGCCCGCCCCCCCCGAACCUACUGAAACUUUGCUGCGUUUGGCGCGGCACCCCAACUUUGCCGCGCCACUCCGCCUGGGGCGGCAGCGGCAUUCCUGCCGUGCCACUUCCCUUGGCGCGGCAAGCCCCUCCACCCCCCGACACCUACUGAAACUUUGUUUCGGUUUGCGUGGCAGUGCACUACUGUCGCGUCACUCUGCGUGGUGCGGCAAGCCCCCACCCCACGAAACCCUACUGAAUCAUGAGGAUAGUAUUUUAUCAUGGUGUUGGAGUCCUAGUUUUCAUGGAUUCCUUUUUUUUACCGGGGUCGACCCUAAAGCCAUAAUGUCUCAAAACGCAGAGGGUAUAGAGAAACUUUUCUUUUUUCCUUUGUCUCGAACUUCGUGAAGAACUCCAUUCUAUAUCUCCAACAAAAAAGUAGGGUUGCGCCCCAGUUGUACACUCCCUUCGUUCGGAGAACCCUUAUUGAUUCUGAACUUUGUUCGCAAAGUAAGCAUCCUUUUAACGGGCCAGCCCUUUUUAAUGCGCCGCUUGACCCAGUUUUGAAAAUGAGCUUUGCUCUUCUGGGCGCCCCAACGUAUCCAGGCCAAAUCCCAACCGGCUUGGGUCGGAUAAAAAAUGCUCAAAUAUACCCAAAAAUGCUCGGAUAUACCCUACGCUCUAUCGGACCCUACCAGUAAUUAUAGAAAGAGUAUUGUCUUUUUUUAAAUAUUACAGUACUUCUUCACAAGUUUUUGUUCAAUCUUAAUUUUGAUCGAAGCUACUACUGUUUCUUUGACACUCUAGCGCUAACUACUAGCUCGGAGAGGAAACUUUGAUGCGUUUGGACAUAGUUCUCUCACAAAUGAAAAUUGUUUUUGACAACUAAUCGUAGUUCUCAGAAUAAACAUAAACAUAGUUUUCUCAUAAAUGAACAUAGUUUUCACAACUAAAGAGAAACAUGAUUCAGCAAAAUUAACACGUUCAUCUAGUCCAAGUCACCUUCAUAUAGUAACUCAUCAUCAUCAUCAUCCUCGGCAACAACAACUCCCUUCCCUUUCUUAUCGACAUUAACCUUACCAACAGGUAAAUCGGCAACAAGAGCCUUCAUCGUCUCCAUCUGUGCCUCUUCCGCUUUUUGUUGUAACUCUUCCAUUUCAAUCCUUCUCUUUCUUACCCUAACCUGCUGCAAAUAUUCUUCCCAUGAACCCUUAGGGUAUUUCGCAUUCGGAUCAACCACAUAACCUAAGCGAUCUCUUUCCUCCCUCAACCUUUGUUUCUCCAACUCCCUCUCCUCCUGCAACUUCCUCCUAUUUUCACUCUUCUCAUUUUCAGUUAGAGGUCGUGGAUACUUGGAUCUAUUCUGCCUCCAAUACUUAAUAAUAGUUUCCCUCGCAUAAAGUCCUUCAGGCUCCACUCCAGUCUCAUGCACCAUAUCUUGAUAUAUUUUCCCCCGAAGCAAGUCGUUGUCAGGGAUAGGCACAUCAUACUCCUUCCUAAUCUUUUCUUUAAGUUCUUGUUGUUUCCUUGACUUCCAUGGUUCCGAUGUAUUACCCAACUUUAAUAACAAAUCACAACGACCAGAAAAAUCUUCCCAAUCACAUGUCCUUCCCUCCUGCAACAACAAUUUCAUAUUCUUACAAAUUUGAAACAAGUUCCAACCUUAAUAACACACAAGAGACGAGUAGUUACUAACCCAGUAAUCGCCAUGUGCAUUUCCACAGAACGAACCAUAUCCAAGUUCAGAAGGCACCACACCUUGUGUUGCCAAUAUACCACACUUGCAUCUAUCACUAGGAGAGGACACACAUGGCCACGGUGCCUUUCCACUCUCGAACUCCAGCACUUGCUCCUCCGUUGGCCACAUUGCCAUUGGGCCGUAUAUAUACUCAUUGAAAUCACACAACGGCCACCCAUCCUGCAAAAAAAUGGUGACGUGAACUACUCAUACGUAAAGUAGCUAGAAAACGCUGCUCCAACUUCCAAGCAAUAACAUCAAGUAAAAGUAUGAACAAUAUACUGCAAAAUUAUAACUGCUAGCUACAUGACAUACUAAUAUUCUCAUAAUAAACUUACAUGAGUCUUUAGCGAGCAUCGAAAGAAUGGAGUAAACUUAGGUGGAUCCUCUAAGUUAGGACGCAUAAGCUUAGCAGGAACACCACACUUGCACAUGGGAGGAUCCCUCACACGCCUACAAGCAGCCUCCUGCUUCUCCUCCUCGGUCAUCCUAGGUGGGUUUGGUGGAGGAGGAACCCAACGCCUAAAGUGAUGGUAUGGUUUAAGCUCUGUGCUAUGAUAUGGGAAUAGGCGGAUCCUAGGAUCAUAUUUGUCGGGUCCAUCAAUCUACUGAAAGAAAUCACAAGGUGCGGCAGGCAUUGGAUCAAAAGUCCACUUGCAUACAUAGAAGGCUCUUCCGGCUGUCUUUGGAUGACUUGAUUGUUUCACCUCUGCUUGCACGCCACAUCUACAAAGAGGUACCGGAAGGGCAGGAGGUACGGGACCAGCACCAUUGGACUCGCCCACAUACGGACAUACCACCUACGCCGCUUGUAUUCACAACCAAACGACGUCAUCUCACCUAGACAUCAAGUGCUACAAAAUUAAUACACAAAUAAACUUUACACACGUAAUCCAAACGAGCUAUAUACAUCAUUUCGAUAAAAUGUAAACACUCCAUCUACAAAAUACAAACUCUGAAACAUAUCAACUAUAGCAACUAUAUUAAGGAACAAAAAUAUGAGACAAAUUAAUUGAACAUAUAAAAAAAUACAUGUCAUGUAAACCACACAAUUCGAUGAGUAUAUACCUAUAUCGAAAUAUUCAACAAGUUCUACACAUCAAUAUCGCGGGCAGAGACUCAAUUGCGUCUGAACUACGUAUCAUCUAACACAAAAUACCAUUGCAUUUCAUUCAAAAUUGAAAUCAUCAACCUAACCCUAAGUCACCUAAACAUCCUCCGAUCUACCAAAUGCAACGGUAAAACACGAGAAAAAGUAUGGGGAUACCUUCCACACGGAGCAGGGAUCGAUUUCCACCACUUACCCCCACCAAAAUCGCCGAAUUUUGGGUGGAUUUGGGGGUGGUGCGGCGGGGGGCGGCGCAACAAGCUAGGGGCGCUGGUCUGUCCGGAGGAGGAAGAAAGGAGGGAGGGAGGAGGAAGGGAGCCAGCGCGCUGCUGUAGCGUAGGCUCUGCCGCGCCAUGCGGGCUGGCGCGGCAAGUGCCCGCCCACGUCAGCGUGCACCUGGCGCGGCGAGUCACCGCGCGAGCGUGGUAGGGGCCCGUCGCGCCAGUGCAUGCGGCGCGGCAGAGGCUACCUGCCGCGCCAGGCGGUCUGGCGCGGCCAAAAGGGUUAUCUGCCGCAAAUAUAGUCCCGCGGAGGUUAUUUUUAAAAUAAAUAAAAAAAGGUUAAAAAUAAAAAAAAGAGAACAAAAAGAAUCAAGUCAGAUUACGGAGAGGUUCGAAUGACUUAAUUUAUUAAAGGACCACUUCACUGGACGGAUCUCCUAAUAUCCAACCUAAUUUUAAUUAUGAAAUAAUUGAAGCAUAUCGAUCUGUCAUGAACAACAAUUAUAUCAGGAUUGAAUUAGCAGUCACUGUUGAAAUUGCAAAUGACCAUCAACCAAACCUUCUUAUUAUAAGAUAACAGUAGUAAAACUGGCUUCUUUUUUCUUGUCUGUAAGACGCUCUACUCGUGUAUCAUCAUAAGAAAAAAAUCCUAAGAAUGGUAGUGAAGAUGAGCAGUAGUACCAGAGGUCGAUUUACCUAUUUGAUAGCCCUUUGCCACCUGUAGAGCUCUAGUAAACUGAUUGUUUCCUUCUGUGUUUCAUCCUGGGCAACAACAGGAAAAUUGUCAAAGGAUCAUAAAUAAAAACAAACACACAAUGCAUGUUGUUAAUAUUACUAUUGGAAAACUAAAAAAAUGUCAAGCAGUAGUAAUUUCAAGUGCCAACAGCAGGAAAAUUGUCAAAGGAUGAUAAAUAAAAACAAACACACAAUGCAUGUUGUUAAUAUUAAACUCUAAAUCUUUGGAUUUCAUCCCAUCAUCUUGACUUUCCAAUAUCACAACAUCAUUUGAAUUUUCUUCAGUGACAUGAUUUUGUACAGAAUUGAUACCAAUUUCUGCUGUGUUUGUUUUUCUCAUGUAGUGGAGUCACAAUCACAAGUCAUUGAUGCAAAUGAAAAGAGAAGGAAAAGAGAUAGAGAGCGUUAUGCCAAAAUUACAGAUGAAGAAAAGCAUGAUAAACUGAAAAAACAACAUGAAGCCUAUCAUAGAAGGAAAGGUAGAGAUGCAACACAGUACCAAAAAAAAUACACAAAAGAGAGACAGAAAUAUGCAAAUAUGCAGCUAGAACAAAAGAAAGCUAGAAUAGAACAAGCCAUAACUAACCGUGAAAUGAGGAGCAGCAAAACAACGAAAGGUUCAAUUGCAAUAGAGAAUCCUGCAUAUAUUGAAACAAAUAUGUUAGUUGAAGUCAAUACAUCUAGCCUUAAUGUUAAACACAGGAAACAUGUGACGCCAGGAGAAAGGCAAACAUUGCUAGCCCGUCAAAAUAAAAAAAUCAUAAAAAAACAAAAGGGGACAGUUUAUUCAUCAUCAGAAGAAGAUGAAACCAUGAGCGAAGAGGACAAUGACAUAGAAAUGCAAAAACAGGCAAAAAUCAUGAAUCUCGGUAAUAUUCUAAAUUCUAUACAAAACUUUCGCAUUUCAAUACAAUAUAUGCAAUACUUUAAAAUUUGAAUAGACUACAUACAUCCAUAUAUUAUACUAACAAUCUCAAUCAAACAGAAAUACCCUCUUCAGUAUGGACAACCAUAGAAGGCAUUGAUGCCCCAAAACAACUAACAAAUGAUAAAGAUAAGGGUAAGGUUAUCAACUCCAAAGUAUAAAUUCUCACAUGAUACAAAAGAAACAAAAAUAUGUAUUCACAAAAAUCUGUACAGAUAAUGAUGGAGUGAUAUUUGAACAAGACACGAACGAGGAUGAUUACAUGUUCUCAUGUCAAGGUAUGCUUCAAUACUUUAAAAAAAAUCCUUCCAUCAUUAUGUUAAUACUUUCCUAAAAAAUUUUAUAUAAAAAAAAUUCAACAAAAUUGGACACAGAUGUGGAUAUCGAAAUCAGAGAAGACGAAGAAACUACUACAAAGAUCUCAAAUCCAUAUGACAUUGUCUACAACAACGUACUAGACGACACAAACAUGCUGAAAAAUAAAAAAAUUUGCAUAUACUGUAAUGCAAAGAAAUUUGAGUAUGAAUCUGAGGGGUUAUGAUGCAGAAAACGACAUAUUAGAUUAGCCAAUCAAGAGACACCUCCUGAACUCAUGAGACUUUGGACAAGCAACGAUUCUGAUGCAAGACAUUUUUGGAACAAUAUAAGAUUUUUCAAUGGACACUUCUCAUUUACAUCUCUUUAUUGCCACCUAGACAGUGCGACCACUGACAUGAAAAAAGCUGGUAUUUACACCUUUCGAGCUCAUGGCCAGAUGUAUCACGAUAUACAAUCAUUUGGAAAUAGUUGCUCAGAUCCAAAGCAUCUAGAGUUGUACUUCUACGAUGAUGAUCCAAGCCUAGAGCAUCAGUAUCGAUGCUGCCGUGAAGAAAAGUACAAGCAAGACAAACAUGUAGUCACAAUUUUAACACAAAUUCUACGUGAAAACCCAUAAUCUAAACAGUUUAGAAGUUUGGGACAGAAUGAAAAACUUGAUGACUACAGGCUGAUCUUGAACCUUGACCAAAGAUUAGACCAAAAACCAUACAAUGCACCAAUAACUUUAGAGGUAGCUGUAGUGUGGAUCAAGGGAAAUGAAAGAAGAAAUACCUUUGACAAGAAUGUAAUACUACAUGGAAACAACAACGAAAUACAAGGCAUCAAAUCAUACUAUGGCUGCUAUGAUCCAUUAUCUUAUCCUCUAUUCUUUCCAAGAGCUGAACUCGGUUGGCAUUGAAAUAUCCCAAGGGCCAAUACAAUAUUGGAAGAAUUGAGAAAUGAUAAUGUUGAUCGCAACAAUAGUGACAACGACCCAGGUUAGAAUUUCAUAUACUUUUGUCUUCUAAAUUUAGUUUACUAAUAUGAAACAACUACAUAAAUAUUCCUCUAACUUUAGCGUUCCAAUUCUUACACAGAUUCAAGCAGUAAGCUGUGGGUAACCAUGAGAGAAUAUUACUGCUAUAAAUUCCAUGCAAGACCAAGCAUAUUCAACCCAAUAUUGCAUGGUGGUAGACUUUUUCAGCAGUUUGCCGUUGAUUCAUACAUCAAGAUUGAGAGCUCCAGAUUGGACUUCAUAUGGCAUCAUCAGAAAGAAAUAAGGGCAGAUCUAUACAAAGGCCUCCUGGAUAGCAUUCAAGAAGGAGAACAAAAGGGAGAUAAAGUAGGAAAACGAACGGUGCUAGCAUCAUCAUUUAUUGGAGGGCCAAGAGAUAAAUUGCGACGAUAUCUAGAUGCUAUGGCUUUAGUAAGCAAAUAUGGAAAGCCAGACAUAUUCCUAACAAUGACCUGCAACCCAAACUGGGAAGAGAUCACCCGAGAACUAGAGUUUGCACAAACUCCUCAAGAUCCCCCAGAUCUCGUGGUUAGGGUUUUCGGGGCAAAACUAGAAGAAAUGAAGAAUCAAUUGUUUAAAAAGCACAUUCUUGGAAAGGUAAAGGCAUAUACCUAUGUUGUAGAGUUCCAAAAGAGAGGCCUACCUCAUGCACACUUUUUGCUGAUAAUGACCGGAAAAUACAAGUAUACAUGUCCAGAGCAAUAUGACAGAAUAAUCUAUGCCGAGCUGCCAGACAAGCACGAGUAUCCAGAUCUAUAUAAAAUGGUCAUCAAACAUAUGAUGCAUGGUCCUUGCGGCAUAUUAAACAGAAAUUGCCCUGCACAAAGAAUCGAGCAUCUUGCAAACACAAUUAUCCAAGACCAUUUAAUGAAACUACAAUUCAAGGCAAGGACUCCUACCCAUGGUAUAGAAGAAGAAAUGACGGUCGCACUGAAACAGUCCGGAACUGUAAACUAGAUAACAGAUGGGUUGUUCCUUACAACCCAUACCUAUUGCACUUUUUCAACUGCCACAUAAAUGUUGAUGUAUGCUCAAGCAUUAGAGCCGUUAAGUAUCUGUUCAAAUACAUCUACAAGGGACAUGACCGGGCCUCUGUAUCUGUAACUGGAGCAGAUGAUGAAGGAGAAAUUGAUGAAAUUAGAUAGUACAGAAACGCACGGUGGGUUACACCUCCAGAAUUAAGCAUGCAAGUGCUGAGAGCCGAUAUAUAUCUUUGACUCUAUUGGAAGUGUUUGAAGUGAGCAAUACAUCAUUUUAUAUAAAUCCAAUCCAUUUGAUCACAUUAAAAUUCAUGAGACAAGUCUCUCUGUCCCCGUUAAGUCAUAUAUGAAGGGUCAAAACAAACUGGUAUAAAAAGCAUGUACAUAAACCGUAUGUAUAAUUGGUGGUAGGUUUGCCGGUAUGUAAAAGUUAUAUUGUUUAUGCGGAUCUAUCUAUUUAUACCUAUAGUAAUCACAGAUGCUCUAGAAAAUCCCACGUCAACGAGAAAGAGAAAAUAUCUAGCCAUUGAUCCAUCGUGGCCCCCUUUUUUUAGCCGUUCAGAUUUAAAAAAGUACAAUUAGUUAUUAGUUACUUGCAUUUGGUUAACUUUGCUAGGUUGUUCUAAGGAUAAUAGGUGCAAAUGGACAGUGGGGCCACUGGUGGACGUGCGUUCCUUGACAGAGCAUGCCUACACGAGAACUAAGGAAGACCGGCUGUGUGGACGUGGAGGAUGUGAUAUUACACGAUGCUGGAACAUGGACGGUUGCCACGUUAAUCCUCGGGUACAAAUUAGAAUUCAUUACAAUUUUUAGGAAAAAUAUGUACGGAUGUAUGAUCCGUUAGAGGAAAAGUGAAUAGGACGGACCAAAAUGUUGGAUCCUUUGUUGGAAAAAUGGUUUGAAUUUUGGCAAUGUGAGUAAGGAUUUCCUUUGUUUUGAGAGAGAGCCAAAUAGGAUUACAUUAUUUGUUAAUGUUCGUCUCAUAUUGAUUUUCAACCUUAAAAAAAUGAUGCACUAUUUCAACUACAAUCACAUUAAACAAAACAUAAAAUUCGAUCCAUCUUGGCCUCUCGAGCUAUGUGAGUAGGAGAACAGCAUAGCAAAGAUAAACGAUCUAAUUAAUCUUCCUAGGAAGAGAUUUGAACUCUUGGAAACAACAAAAUGAAAUCAUGCAAUUCGAUUGGCAAAGUGACAAUACAUCAUCGGUACAAUGAUCAAAAAUAGCGAUUCUUGGUGAGGUACAAAUGUAUGAUCCAUUGUUGGGAAAGCAAAUAGGACGGACUAAACUUUUCGUCACAUAUUGAUUUUCAGCCACUAAAAAAAGCGAUGAGGUAAGAUAGUCAUUUGUUUCUAAAUACACAGUACAACAUAGUCAUUGUUUCUAGUCCGUUGCGGUGCGGUGGGAUAAGAAUAAAUAAUCACAUGACAAGACAUGGCAUGGCAGGCUAUCAUGCAACAUCAUGACUAGGGAAAACCAAAAGCACCAAGGAAGAUGAACAGAUUCUUGCUGAUGUCCCAUCACAGAGCAAAUAAAGCAGGAUAAAAGGGGAUUGAUCUUCGAACUAGAAAAUAGGGGAUCGAUCUUUCCAUUGAUCUUACAAAUAAAAGAUAACAGCAUAGCAAAGAUGGCCAGGGUUCCAACAAAAUCUAAAUCUAAAAUUACUAAUUAACAGCAUAGCAAAGAUAACAGCUGGCCAGGGUUCCAACAAAAUCUAAAUCUAAAGUUACUAAUUAACAGCAUAGCAAAGAUAACAACAUUGAUCUUCCACUAGCGCGGCUUGCUCACUCCAUUCACCCCUCGUUCCCGGCCAUGACGUGGUGGCGGCUCCACUUCUUAUGGUUCUCGCCCCUCAGGGGGUGGACCCAGAACGUGGUCCUUGACCUCAUUAAGGAUCCCCCACCGAUGCCUCGUUCCGGGGUAGACAGGGCACGCGAAGGUGUUGUCAGCGCGGUGAAAGAUGCGUAGAGUAUCACCCCGGGGGAAGGGCGUGUGGUAGUCGCAGCGCCGGUCGUCUGAUGAGUCCGUCAGUUUGGGAGUCGGAGUCGAACCCAUCAGCUGGAAGGGUCACAAUCAAGGUCAACUCUUGAUGCGGUGACGAGGGCGUGAGGGUGGAGGAAGCCACCCCCACCGUCGGAGGAGAACGGGAACGCACCGGGGAGCCCACAAUAGCUCCGCAGCGACCAUCCACGAGCGAUAGCAGGUUGAGGUCGGCAGCGUUGGAGCGCGAUCACGACGACGAGCGCAAUGGCCACCCAAGGUCGCUGGCGUCAGAGUGGGAUACCGACGAGAAAGCGCCGCCGUAACGGGACGACCCCACUGCGUGGACGUAGCGCCAUAGCGCUGCCGUGAAGUUGCGGGCAGUGGCGCGGCAGUAGCACGGCGACAACCCGCCACAGGAGCACGACGACGAUGAGAGGGACCUUUAGUCCUGAAUGAUUAGUUUCGGUUGAUUUUUCGAGAGAUAUGAGGCUUACCAAGCAGAACUAAUGCUCAUAUUUCCACUAGUGAGUGCAAGGUUUCCUCGACGCAUAAGACGAUUUAUCCACCGUGGUUCCUAACCACAAGUAGAAAUGCACACAUUUACUAGGGGCGGUUCCUUAAGAGAAGUGUAUUUUCCAGGGGCAGUUCCUUAAGAUAAGUACCGAUAGAAAUCUGGCAGUGUUCAGGUACAGUGCGCGAAAGCAACUGCUAGUGACUGUAGAUAACGAUAUCCAUCGAUACAAAUAAAGGCUAGUAUCACAUCUAAAAACUAGCUUUGAUAUUCAGCUCAGAUCCGUGCCUCUAACUUUUCGUGCUCAUUAUAUAAAUCAUAAAUUUCCUAAAAAAUUAACAAAAUCGUACAUAAAAAUCCAGAAUGUUUAUCAAAAGGUAAGAUUCAAAUCAGUGGUAGAUGUUCAGGAUUAACAACUUUCUUACUCCACAUAUUUUUGUUAGGUGAGGAGGCAUUGCAAGUUUGCAACUGUUGAAUGAAAUCCGUACUUCGAUGGAACUAGGAGGUAGUUGGUUUGAAGUAUAUACCAUUUAGAUAUCUAAUAAUCCUUCCUUUUAUUUCAAUAAAAAUAUUGGUUCCACGAUCAUCUAGGAGUAUGGUCUUGUACUCUCUUCUUGUUCGAGCUUUAUGUGAAUCCAACCCUAUGGAGCCAUAUUCAAUGCUCGUUAAAGAUAGUAACUAUACGGGAGUAAUGAGAAGUUAAAGGGAUGAUUGAGAUAAGACAUGUGGCAUCCAUCAAGAUAGUGAUCCUCCAUGGAACUGAAUUCAAUGCUUGAUAUCGAACCUGUCCUGAAGAUGAAAAGUUUCUCUAUAAAUUUAGACGUCCUAAACUUCAAUUCUUGUGCACACAGAAUCUACUCGCAGUCGUAGGCUCGUAGCUUAUAGACAAAUGACAUUGCAAGCAAUGGCGUUGCCCUACUUGCAAGAACUAGUCAUCUCCACACUUCUCGUUGUAUCAUUGUGCAUGUACAUUAAGUUCUGGAGGCUGAGAAACCCGUUGUACCCCAUGGACUGGCCGGUUGUGGGCAUGCUCCCUUCCAUCGUUGCCAAUCUCCACAACUUCCACGACGUACUCACUGUCUUCCUUGCCACCAACGGGUGUAACUUCAAGGCGCGAGGGCCGGUAGCAAGUGGCAUGCGGUUCUUCGUCACCGCUGAACCGGCAAACGUCCGGCACAUCUUCACCUCCAACCAUGCAAACUACCCCAAGGGCGAGGAUUUUGCUGAAAUCUUCGACAUCAUUAGCGGCACCCUCUUCACCAUUGAUGGUGAGGCCGUCCGCCAGCAGAGAGCCAUGUUCCAGAACAUCUUCAGCAAUCCACGGUUACUUGCCUUGAUGGCAAGUUGCUGCCGUGACAAGGUGGUGAACGGACUCCUCCCGUUCUUGACCCGCAUGGGGAGCACCAGGACAACGUUCGACAUGCAGGAUUUGAUCACAAGGUUGGUGUUCGACCUUACUGCCACGCCGAUCUUCGGUGUCGACCCGGGUUGCCUGUCCAUCAGCAUGCCGUCUAUCCAUGUUGCAACCGCCAUGGACACGUUCAUGGAGGUCGGCUUAUUCCGGCACACCAUACCGGCUUGUUUCUGGAAGGUGAUGAGACGGCUAAACAUCGGUCCAGAGAGGAAGCUGGCCAUGGCGCAAACAGUGAUGCAUGCUUUCAUCAGGGAGAUGACUGAGAAGUCGAAAGCCAGGUGCACCGAUAUCCUUGAUGAUGUGUUGGCCAUGGACAUUAUUUCUGCUAACCCAUCAGUGGGCAGAGACGAUGUCCUACUACGUAAUGUACUCAUCGCUCACAUGAUCGCCGGGCGGGACACGGUUGGUACCACGCUACCGUGGGUAUUCUACAACCUCGCCAGGAACCCCCGUGUGGUCUCUUGCAUCCGCAAGGAACUGGCACCCAUCGCAUCACUCAAGGCCACUGCUCUCGCCUCCAAUAGCAUCAGCAGUAUGGUCGUCUUUGAUCCAAAGGAGACUGAACACCUAGUCUACCUUCAGGCAGCCUUAUUGGAGUCGCUCAGGUUGUACCCACCAGGCCCGAUCGAGCGCAAGGUGGUGCUAGCCGACGAUGUGCUCCCAAGUGGUCACCAGUUGUGCUCCGGUGAAACCAUCCUGAUCUCCAUCUAUGCCAUGGGUAGAAUGGAAUCCCUGUGGGGCAAGGAUUGCCAUGUGUACCGUCCGGAGAGGUGGCUGUCCGAGGACGGUGCUAAACUGCGUUACGUGCCGUCCAAUAAAUUCAUGGCGUUUAACACAGGGCCGAGGAUGUGCCUUGGCAAGGACAUAGCAAUUGCGCAGAUGAAGACCAUCGUUGCCGCGGUGGUGUGGAACUUUGAUAUGGAGGUGUUGGAAGGGCAGAGCAUCGAGCCAAAGCUGUCGUGCAUUCUUCAAUUGAAGAACGGGCUCAUGAUGAUGGUUAAGCAGAGAGAGUAAUCAAUGUGACAUGGAAUGAGCUAGGUGCAAUGCAACUACAGAUCGACUCAGUCCUGGCAUAUAUGGUUUGAACAAAAUAGUUAAAUCCAAACUUAUAAUGAAGUAAAUGGAAGCGUAACAUGUAUUUUCGUCAUUAAAUAAAGUCUACGGAUGCCGUCGUCUGGCCAUCUGAAAGCUGGGAUCAUACCCAACUACAGACUCUUUGAUUUCAGUACUGAUAGUUUGUACUACUCCCUCUUUCUAAAUAAGUGAUGUUUUCAGAUUAUCUUAAGCUUAUUUGAAACUUUGAUGGCAUAUUAAUUGUUUUUCUAUGUGUAAAAGGUAUACGAGUACAUUUAUGUUUAAUAGUAACUUCAUCAAAAGCAUCCGUUCACUUUAUGAAUAUUUUGUGACAAAAACUAGCCAUCACAGUUAUGUUUUUGAGGUAAUUUCAAUAUCAAAAACUUCAUUUAUGAGACCGGAGGAACUAACAUACAAAGACAAUGAAUGUAAAUACAAUAUGCCCUCCGGUGUCCUGGACUUCAUAAGUUGUAUCUGCAAUACUCAAGAGUGAAACGAAAGAGGGCGAUGUCAAUUUGAGUGUAUCAAAAGAGACUUAAAACAUUCAAAUGAUGAAGAUAAAUUGUAUCAAAUCAUAGUCCCUAUUAUACUUAUGUAAUUAGUACAAUUUAUUUAAGUUGGAACAUACUUUUUUUUACCGUGUCUUGAUCCAAGUGCGCAUGUGGGUUUUGCAUGUUUUUCCUGGUAGGAGGCACCUGACUAAUGCGGUGUCUGGAACCUUGGUUACUCCUUUUUAUUGAUUUCCUUCCUUAAGCUACCUGAGCACCCUAGAAUAGUGAUGGGCUGCCAAGGUAUUGGAUCAAAUGAAUUCAGACACCUCUAUGUAUUUAAGGUAUUGGUGUGAGUAGCGUGUAACGACUGAUUCUGUGCUGAGUCGUACCAACCAUAUCGAGGCUUUGUGCACGCUAGCUCAUUCAGGGUGAAAGUCUGCCCCGUCCGUACAUGAUAAGCUCGAGAGUCGAGACAUUGAUUCGGCAGCUGCCGUACGUGUAUGUUUUUGUCCUUCCAUUUGCUGUACGUGUACGUGCUCGUUCCGUUGGUGCUGUGGACGGAGAGCGGCUACUUAGACAUGGACUUCUGCCGAAUCCGCAUGAUGGACAACGACAACCAGGCCCUCGACGCCGUCUUGCCCCGCGAUGAGAACGGCUGCGGCGUGCGAGACGGCACGGCCAUGACGAUCACAGAGGAGAUCUACUGGAGCGACGAGGCCAACAAGACCUGCGACGGGCUUUACGCCGAGCUCACCUGCCGCGUCUACUUCAAGGCCCACGAAGGCUUCAACCUUACCUUGCGCGACGGUGCCAUCUGCCUCUUGCCCACCGACGCCGAUGUCAAGUACCAGCACCAGCACUGGAUCUAGACCCACCUUACGCCGGCUCCCUUCCUCCUCCCUCCCUCCUUUCUUCUUCCUCCAGACCCACCCGAGCCCGAGGUUCUUGCGCCGCCCCCCGCCGCCCCACCCCCAAAUCCACCUAAAAUCCGGCGAUUUCGGUGGGGGAAAGUAGUGGAAAUCAAUCCCUGCUUCGUGUGGAAGGUAUUCCCCUACUUUUUCUCGUAUUUUACCGUUGCAUUUGGUAGAUCGGAGGAUGUUUAGGUGAUUUAGGGUUAGGUAGAUGAUUUCAAUUUUGAAUGAAAUGCAAUGGUGUUUUGUGUUAGAUGAUACGUAGUUCAGACGCAAUUGAGUCUCUGCCCGCGAUAUUGACGUGUAGAACUUGUCGAUUUAGGUAUAUAUUCAUUGAAUUGUGUAGUUGAUAUGACAUGUAUAUUUUUUGUUUGCAAUUUGUCCAAUAUGUGUAAUGUGUCUAGUUGAUAUGUUGAAUAUGUGCAAUGUGUAGUGUAUAUGACAUGGUGAAAUGUUUGUAUUUUGUAGAUGGAUCGUUUAGUUCGUUUUUUUCAUGGUGGUGUUGUGAAACAAAAUGGGGAGUUAGAGAAUAUGAAUGAGUCAAUUGCAUUCUUCGAGGGUCCUCCAAGUUUUAGUGAUUUAGUUGACCGUGUAAUGAGGAAGUAUGGAUGUAGAGUGGAUGAGAUCAGUUUGAGAGGUCGUUUUGAUUGUGGGAAAGCUAGAGCUCAUUAUGUUCUCAUGAAGUUAGCAUCCGAUGCGAAUUGGAAGCACUAUAAGGAUGUAGUUCACGAAGCUAAUGUUGCAUGUUUGGAGGUGUUGAUGCCAGAUUUUGACACUAUGAAAUUGGCGUCAGAAAAGGAAGAAAUCAAGAGAUGCGGCAAGACACGGAGGUCACGAUUGGAAAUCGGCCGAUUGGUGCUACAGUUGAGGAUCGACCGAUUGGUGCUGCAGUGUUUCCGCGAAUGGAGUUGGUGGAAAUCGGCUGAUUGGGAGGCUGGAGCAAUUGGGCCGGUAUGGGCUUAAAGUGAACUAUGAAGAUAAAGAGGGAGUCAGCCCAUGGGAGCGCGAUGAUCAACUCCAGUACGAGUCACACUUGUAAAUAUUUGUUUUCGUUUAAAAUUAGAGAUAGAGUCCUAGUCGGUUAAGAAAUUGGUUAUAACAGGCUAUAAAUAGUCACCUUCGUAGAUCUGUAAUCAUCAUCAAAUCAAUACAACAAACUACUAUUUCCUCACACUUACUUUCGAGCAGGCGACUUCGCCAAUACUUUUCUUCUUUUUCACGAGUUCGUACAGGUUGGCGGGGCUGCAUCAACUUGAUCUCCGGCCGAUUCUGUAAGUUCCGCUUAUCGAGUAAUAUCUAAGCUUUAACUUCGGACGCAUCGCUGUCGUUUCGUUUAGAUUUAUUCACUAGUUAUCGAUAUUCACUAGAAUUCUAGGUCUUGCCUUUUGUUCUAGUUUUAUCACCAGUUAUCCAGCUAGGAAUUGGAACUUUCAGCUUUCUUGUACUUUAUUACUUAAUCUAUCGCUUUCUGCAUAGCCAAUUCAGAUCUAUUCCUAGUAUUGUUACUGUAGCGUUGUUUAGAUUACUCUAGCAGUUUUCUUUACUAACGCUGCCCGGUAAUCGGCCGCAUUAUAGCCGAUUUCUUUAUUACAGCAAAUCAGCCGAUUCGCUGAUAAGCUUUCUCGAGAUCGGAACCUUAGCCGAUCGCAACCUCUGGGAUCUGACAUGUUUCUUUCCUUGCCAAUCAACAGGUCAGAUUGGCUGGCACACCGCGCGAACCGCACUAGGGCAAUCACCCGAACAAGAGUUAAGCAGAUUCUCCCAGGUCGUGUGUCCGACGCUAGAGAUUCGAUCAGCCGAUUUCUAGCGCCAACAGGAGGUUAUAGUCGAAAUUGUUCGUAUACCUGGCCCAAAUGUUGUCAUGAGGGAGGAAGUGGCGGUAGUGAACCAUAAUGGUACCCAGGAGUCAGAAAUGUUGCAUCACGUGUUAGGUGAAACAGAACGUGAUUUUAACUUGGCUAUUGCCAAUGACGAUUUUCCCAAUAACAUUUUUGAGAGGGAUGAAGCAAAUAUAGAUGUCGAUAAUGUCUCUAUGGGUUCCGAAGAUUGUGAAUUCGAGGAAGAUGGGGUAGUAGGUGUGGAGGUAGAGGAGGAAUCACUAUUUGAGAGUGGUGGGCAUGAAUAUAAGGACGACAGGAUAGAAAAUGAAGAGGAUGGACCGCAAUUUGACACCGCAACCGUGCAUGAUGUAGAAGGCAUUCGUCGUAUGGACGAUUGUUUUUCUUACACCCAGAACAAGUUGCGGUUGUUAAAAGAACGUGAUGUCGAACUGCCAUCCAUUCCCAAUGAUAAGGACAUCAGUAUGGUCCACAAAGCAAUAUGUGAAUCUAGUAUGGUGAAUGCCGAAGGGACGUCCGUUGGUGAGAGUCCAGUGAUUAAGAAGGGGAUGAAGUUCAAUAGUCUUGAGGAGCUGAAGUUUUUCUUGGCUGACUACGCAGUGAGGUUACAUAGACCUUUUAGCGUAGUUCACUCUGACAAGAACUUAAGAUACAAUGUGAUGUGCAAGCAAGGAUGCCAUUGGCGUGUAUGGUCUCGGCUAAUAUCAAGCACCGGACAAUGGAGAAUUUCAAAUGUUGUGUAACCGCAUACUUGUCGGUCGUCACAGCCGAAGCGAGAGCAUGUACAGUGCACAGCAAAGUACCUUGGGUGGCGUAUCCUAGGCAUUAUCCGUAAAGACAGCGAGACAUCGGUGCCAUCCCUCGUGGAGUUCAUCUUCGCCUUUAGUGGGUACCGUGUGAAGUAUUCGAAGGCUUGGCGGGCGAAGCAACACGCCAUUGCCCUGCUUUAGGGCGACUGGAAGGAGUCGUACGGCAUGGUUCCUAGGGUACUCUCAGCUAUAACCUACUACAAUUUCGGGGUUAAAUGGUGCAUCGACUCAUGUGGCAUGAUGCAUCCUGACAAUGGAGUUUUGAAGCAUAUACUGCAAAGGGGAUUUUGGUGCUUCCCUCAAUGUAGUGAGGCAUUUCAACAUUGCCGUCCUGUGAUACUUGUGGACGGUACAUUCUUGACUGGCAAGUAUAAGGGUACGUUAAUGAUGGCAGUUGGUGUAGAUCCAGAACAGCAGCUUGUGCCUCUUGCUUUUGCCUUGGCCGAGAGUGAGAAUAAUGAGAGUUGGUCAUGGUUUAUGAAACUUGUUCGGCGACAUGUUCUUGGACCUUCACGGAUAGUGUGUAUGAUAUCAGAUAGGCAUCAUGGGCUCCUAAAUUGUACGAAGGACCACAUGGAUGGUUUUCCACCGCUUGUGCAUAGGUGGUGCACGAGGCACUUUGCUGCCAACAUGUCGCGUCGGCAGAAGAGCAACCGUGUGAUUGGAAAAUUGAAGAUAUUAUGCAAGGUUCAUACGGAGAGAGAAUUUAGUGAGAAGUUAGAAGAUCUAGUGAAGGACUUGAACGAUGACGCAAAAGAAUGGUUGAAGGGUGAAAUGGAGGACAAGGAUAAAUGGGCGUAGGCUUUCGAUGAGGGAGGGAUGCGUUGGGGUAUUAUGACCACGAACUACUCGGAAUCACUCAACGCAGUUUUCAAAGGCAUCCGAAGUAGGCCCGUCUCUGGAAUUAUUGAAUACUCAUUCGAAAAAUGCAACGCCUACUUUGUGGACCGAUAGCAAAAGGCACAUGCAAUGUUGGAUGAAGGCUAUAGAAUUGGGAAAGUUGCAGAUGAUUAUUUAUCAGAGGCUGAGCUUAGAUCCGUGCACCACUUAGCAGAACCGUACGGGCUAGAAAGGAUGGUGUAUUCUAUAAGAAGUUACGGUACGACUAACAUUGGGGGUGAGAGUCAUGGAGGCCGACACUACAGAGUGGAUCUGAACGAAGUUUCAUGCACCUGCAAUGUUCCACAAUUGUUGCACCUUCCAUGUUCACACUUCAUUACAGCUUGCAAGGCAAGAGGUCUUAACUAUGAAAGCCCCUUGUACAUGUCACCGUUGUACUCUAGGGAGCACACCGUCAAAAUAUGGGAAUCAAGAUUUCAACCUUACCUUGAUCCGUCACAAUGGCCAGCAUAUGAAGGGGUAGGGUACGUGCCUAACCCCAAUUUGAUGAGAAAUAAAGUAGGAAGGAGGAAGAAGAAGCGUUUCACAGGCGACAUGGACGUGUCGGAAGGGAGGUUGUUGACGCCAGAUUUCGUCACUAGUAAAAUCGACGCCAAGAAGAGAAGGAAAUGGAGAAGCACAGUUGGGAAUCGGCCGAAUGGUGCUACAGUACGAGAUCGGCCGAUGACUUCCGUCUCGCCUCGGGUCGAGCGUGCCGGGUUCCCAAUCGGUUGCCUCUUGCCGAUAAGGAAUCGGCCGAUUAGGAGGUUGGGUUAAUUGGGCCUGUAUGGGCUUGGAAAGGAAUAAAAGGAUGAGGGGGAGAUCAGCCCAUGAAACGUAGAGUAACCAACCUAGCACGAAUCGUGCUUGUAAAUAUUCGUUUUCUGUUUGAAUUAGGGAUAGAAUUCUAGUCGAAUAAGAAGUCAUCUAUACGGGGCUAUAAAUAGCUACCUUUGUAAAUCUGUGAUCAUCAACAAAUCAAUACAACAUACUACUUUUUCCUCGUACUUACUUUCAAGCAGACGACUUCGUCAUUACUUUUCUCUUUUUCACGAGUUCGUGCGGGUUGGCAGGGCUGCAUCAGUUUGAUCUCCGUCCGAUUCUGUAAGUUCCGCUUAUCGAGUAAUAUCUAAGCUUUAACUUCGGGCGUAUCGCUGUUGUUUCGUUUAGAUUUAUUCACUAGUUAUCGAUAUUUGCUAGAUUCAUAGGUUUUACCUGUCUUUCUAGUUUUAUCACCAGUUAUCCAGCUAGGAAUCGGUAGUUUCGGCUUUCUUCACGUUCUGCUUUUGAAUUCAUCUAUUGCCGAUUAGAUCUGUUCCUAGUGUUGUUAUCUUAGCUCUGUGUCGAUUACUCUAGUAGUUUUCUGUCUACAAGGCUACAGUGAUCGGCUGCCUUAUAGCCGAUUUCUUUAUUACGGCAAAUCGGCCGAUUCGCUGAUAAGCUCUCUCGUGAUCGGAAACCUAGCCGAUCGCGAUUUCUGGACCUGACACGUAUUCUUCCUUGCCAAUCAACAGGUCAGAUUGGCUGGCACGCCGCGCGAACCGCACCAGGGCAAUCACCCGAACAGGAGUUAAGCAGAUUCUCCCGGGUCCUGUGUCAGACGAUGGGAUUCGGUUGACCGAUUUCUAGCGCUAACACACUUUUGGCACGCCCAGUGGGAUCAAUACAACCGCCAUCAUGUCGAAAGCUGCUGAAGUCUCCGAAGAAAACGUCAUCGAGGUGACGGAAGCAGAUCUGAAGGACGACUAGAAGGAAGAACUGGAUAAGUAUACGGCACAGUUCCGGAAAGCUUGCCUACAGUCUUUCAGUCGCUCCAGAAGCGGGGAGACUAUCAAGAAGACUCCGUUCCCUGCUUCCCGCCAGAUCACGAUUUCUGAGGACUCAGACAAAAUGGCCGAUAUGAUUCAACAGUCCAUUUAUCACGCCUUCGUUGAUCAGUCCCCAGUACUUUCAAAUAUGGUGCACAACGCCGUUGUCAACUCCUUCGCUGGUGGGAUACCUCAAGGAUACAGGGGACCGGCAUAUUUUCAGCCGAUUCCACCAAACCAGAAUUAUUCGAGUUCGGUUUCACAGCCGAUCCAAUUUUCUGUCGGGGGUUCAGGUGCUUCCUCAUCAUCAGCUCCUAUGGGGUAUAACUCCAUCCAACUGUCUUCCGCACCAUUCCCUCCAGUUAGCCCAUCACCCUGGGGGGCACCUUCAGCCACGGCCGGUCAGAAUCAAUCGGCCAGUCAAGGAAGCCCUCCAUUCCAGGCAUCUUUCCAGGCGGCCACUCGGCCGACCGUACCGCCAUACCAGCCUGUCGCUCCGGAGGUCAACAAGACAGCAAAGCUCAUGCUGUAUGAUGAAACGAGUGGUUCAUUCAAACAGCCAACCUUUACCACGCAGCCGGCUUUCACCCAGAUGCCACCUGCUUUCACUCAGCCUCCGUUUAUUCCGCCUCCGGUUUACCAGCACGUGCCAAUACCUCAGCCAACGGUUCACCAGCAACAGCCAGAUUGGUCGUCACGUAUUGCGGAGGUGAUGCAAGAACAAUUCGGCUUAAAGCCGAAAGUACAAACUUACACCUACAGAAUACCAUACCCGUCUACAUAUGACCUAUUGCCGUUCCCCCAUCGGUAUAAAGUUCCUGACUUCACUAAGUUUUCGGGGAUGGAUGACACUUCGACCGUAGAGCACGUGAACAGAUUCAUCAUCCAAUGCGGAGAGGCAGCUACGCAGGAUGCCCUACGGGUACGGUUGUUCUCAUCAUCUUUGUCUGGGUCGGCCUUUCAAUGGUUCACGACAUUGCCGCCAAACUCGAUUAUCACAUGGGCUGAUUUGGAAAGACAGUUCCACAAAUACUUCUACGCCGGGGUGCAUGAGAUGAAACUGUCCGAUUUGACCAGCCUCAGGCAAAGAAGUGACGAGCCGAUAUCCUCGUAUGUACAGAGGUUUCGGGAAAUCAGAAACAAGUGCUAUUCCCUGGCUCUAAACGACGCGCAGUUGGUCGAUAUAGCUUUUCAAGGCCUUCUGCCCCACAUCAAAGAAAAAUACGCCUCACAGGAGUUCGAGAGUUUGAGCCAGAUUGUCCACCGAUUGUCUGGAUAGGAGGUACGUUCCUUCGAUCCACGGAGGAAUUUCCAGAAGAAAGUGGCGUUCCUGGAAGAGUUAGAGGACAAGGAAGACGUUGAAGUCGGACUUGCGGAGUGGAUCAAGGGAAAGAAGCCGAUAUCAUGCCCAUUCGGCAAAAAGGAGCCGGAGGUGUUCGGUUUUGACACGACAAAGGCCGAUAAAAUAUUCGACCUUCUCCUCCAGGAAGGACAGAUUAAACUCUCGCCAUACCAUACAAUACCUUCUGCCGAACAACUAAAAAAGAUGAAAUACUGCAAGUGGCACAAUGUCACAUCCCAUGAUACUAAUGAGUGCAAAAUCUUCAGGCAGCAGAUACAGUCGGCCAUUGAGCAGGGCAGACUUAAAUUUUAAGUGCCGACAAAAUCGGCCAAGCCAAUGAAGAUCGACCAGCACCCCUUCCCCACCAAUAUGGUUGAUACGGGAAAGAAUUCACUCCAAACAAAAGUGCUGACGUCCGAAUCGGCUAAAAAGAGUGGCGCCGUCGACCCCAAAAAUCAAGCUAUGCCUGAAGAUGUAAGGGGAAGCGGCGGAUGGAGGAUGACGAUGGCGAAUCAGAAGAGCCACGCAUUACUUCCCAGUUCCUGCUCCAGAAGUACCAACGUCAGCAUGAACGCUCAAGGUCCCGGGAAGAAGCAAUGCGACGGCACGAAGAUCACUGGAGGUGCCCGUUCUUCAUCCACUGUUGGGAAAACAACCUCAGGCUACCUUCGGCCGAUAAUUGCCCAGAAUGCAAUAGUCCAUAUCGUGGCAAUCGACCGUUGAACAGGUCUCGCUCCAGAGACGGAAGGCCAGAGCCGAUCAGCAGGAAUUGGCGCAACCAAGAUGACCAGCGCCCUCCCGUGCAUGAUCGGCUGGGGGGCAGAAGUGACCGAUAUCAUCGGUCGGAAGAUAGACGCCAUGACAGGCAGGGGGGCAUGACUGAUCGGCAUGACCGGUCAGAAAACAAAGCCAACGUUCACAGCUGGCUCGAAGAGAUGGCCGAUGCUCGGGUGACGGACGAAAACCCGUUAGGACGCGAACCGGAGUGGGAACGCGCCAGGACAGGAGCAAGACCAAUAAACCCCAGGUGGUGUCCCGAUGGAUUGACCAAGUCUCAGAAAUGAAGAAUCCAACGUCUCCGCCAAUUGGAACAGCAAGAAGAGGAACAACAGAGCACGACGGACAAGAAGGAAGGAAGGCCUCGGGUGUGGCGUCCCAAAAGAAACAAUAAAGGAGACGACGAAUCGGCGGGUGACGAAUCGGCAGCCGAGAUCGGCAUGGUUUUCAUACUGCCGAUGGAAUUCAUGACUCCCGCCGAUCAACAGGAUAUAUCGGCGAUAGAAGACCAGACGGCACAGUUGGUUUUGGAGCCAAUGAUGGCCACAUUCGAGAAGCCCGAAGAUAGCGAACGACAACACAUGAAGGCGCUGUUCCUUAAAGGGCAUGUUGACGGCCGCCCCCUCACUAGAAUGAUGGUAGACGGAGGAGCUGCUGUCAACAUCAUGCCAUACGCCAUGCUCCGGAAGCUUGGAAAAAGCGACGACGACUUGACUAAGACGGACUUCGAAGGCAACGUGUCAAGCGCUCGCGGCGCUCUCUGCGUCGACCUCACCAUCGGCAGUAAGACCCUCCCUACCACCUUCUUUAUUAUUAAUGGCAAGGGAUCCUACAAUAUGCUGCUCGGCCGGGACUGGAUACACGCAAAUUGCUGCAUCCCGUCAACAAUGCAUCAAUAUCUCGUACAAUGGGUCGGCGAUAACAUCGAGGUGGUCAACGCCGAUUCCGCAUACAGCAUCGCGGCAGCCGACACACAACAGUGGAGCUGCGAAACCGUCAGGUGCAUAUCCGGCAGAGUAUGGGAGACCGAUUUCCUGAAGGUCACCGAUUUUGGCCUACAGCCGAUCCGAGCAGUCGGCUCCGAAGACUCAGAAUAGAUGGAUCAGUUCGCCCGAGAAUAUGGGAAGCUAGGGCACGGGUUCACGUCGGCCGAUUCAUUAGAGAUGAUAGACUUAGGCGAUGGUACCAAACCAAGGCCGACUUAUAUUAGUGCAAAUUUAGACCCAGAAUACAAGUGUAAAUUGACAAAUUUGUUAAAAGAAUUUAAGGAUUGUUUUGCUUGGGAGUAUCAUGAGAUGCCCGGUUUAGAUCGGUCUAUUGUUGAACAUCGGCUACCCAUAAAACCAGGGUAUCGGCCGUACCAACAGCCUGCACGGCGCUGCAAUCCUAAGAUUCUACCAGACAUAAAAGUUGAAAUAACUCGGCUAAUCGAAGCAAAAUUUAUUCGGCAAUGCCGUUAUGCCGAGUGGAUCUCCAACAUUGUACCAGUGUACAAGAAGAAUGGAAAGCUACGCAUUUGCGUUGAUUUCAGGAAUCUUAAUCAGGCCACACUGAUGGAUGGUUACCCCAUGCCGACGGCCGAUGUGUUGAUCGACGCUGCCGCAGGGCACAAGAUUAUUAGCUUCAUGGACGGAAACGCUAGGUACAAUCAAAUACUUAUGGCCGAAGAGGACAUACCCAAAACGGCCUUCAGAUGCCCAGGUCACCUUGGCUUGUUCGAGUGGGUGGUGAUGACUUUCGGCUUGAAGAACGCUGGCGCUACAUAUCAGAGGGCCAUGAAUUACAUAUUUCACAAACUCAUUGGCAUUCUGGUAGAGAUCUACAUCGAUGACGUCGUAGUCAAGUCCAAAGGUCAUGAAGAGCAUCUGGCCGAUUUACGAAGAGUGCUAGAGUGCACCAAGAAACACGGUCUUAAGAUGAAUCCCAAUAAAUGUGCUUUCGGCGUAUCCGCCGGACAGUUCUUAGGAUUCAUGGUGCAUGAACGAGGGAUAGAGAUCAAUCGGAAGACCAUAGCGGCCAUCAACAAAGUCGUGGCCCCGCAGAAUAAAACCGAACUGCAGUCUUUAAUCGGCAAGGUGAAUUUCAUCAGAAGAUUCAUAUCUAAUCUAUCUAGGCGGAUUCAGGCGUUCACGCCACUGUUGAAGUUAAAGCCUGACCAGGAAUUUAUAUGGGGGGAAGAGCAGCGCAAAGCAUUGGAAGAUAUCAAGCGAUACUUGGUCUCGCCACCGGUAUUGGUUCCUCCUCAGACUGGUAAACCGUUUAAGAUAUACUUAUCUGCCGAUGAAAAGGCUAUUGGGUCGGCUCUGGUCCAGGAGUUCGAAGGCAAGGAACGAGUAAUUUAUUAUGUCAGUAGAAGACUUCUGGACGCUGAAACAAGAUACCCUCCGGUGGAGCGUUUGUGCCUAUGUCUUUACUUCUCAUGCACCAAACUCAGGCACUAUCUACUGUCGGCAGAAUGCGUGGUCGUAUGCAAAGACGACGUAGUAAAAUACAUGCUAUCGCUGCCGAUCUUGAAAGGACGAAUCGGCAAAUGGAUCUUAGCGUUGUCAGAAUUCGACCUGCGGUAUGAAUCGGCGAAAGCCGUCAAGGGUCAGGUCAUGGCCGAUUUCGUCGCCCAACACUGCGGACUGGAGAUUGCCCUCGUAGAGCCGGCACCUUGGACAUUAUAUUUCGAUGGGUCAUCAUGUGGAGUCGGAUCAGGAAUCGGCAUCGUCCUCAUAUCGCCUCGGGGGGCAAGCUAUGAUUUUCUCUGCCGAUAGAAGCCGCCGCUACUAACAAUCAAGCGGAGUACCGAGCUGUGUUGAAGGGCCUACAACUAUUAAGGGAAGUCAAGGCCGAUUCUGUUGAAAUCUUCGGAGAUUCCAUGCUUAUUGUGGAUCAACUGACCGGAAGGUCCGAAUGCAAGGACGACGUAUUAAGAAUUUAUUACGAAGAUUGCUUACAGCUCUUAAAAGAAUUUAGAUCGGUAGUAAUCGAACACAUCCCAAGGGACCACAACGAGGGUGCCAACGAGCUCGCCCAGCACGCAUCUGGAUAUCGGCCAAUUCUAGGCGCUAUGGCUCUAGAACUCGCGACCGAUGACUGACGAAAAGAAAUUGCCGACUACCUGAAAGAUCUGUCUAAAAAGGUGGAACGACGAGUACGUUUUCAUGCUACUAAAUACGUACUGCUCGAAGACGACCUAUUCUACCGAAUGAUCGACGGUGUUCUACUAAAAUGCUUUGGGACAGAGGAGGCCAAGACCCUAAUGGGAGAAAUCCAUGAAGGGGUAUGUGGAGCACACCAAUCGGCCCAUAAGAUGAAGUGGAUGAUCAGGAAUAAUGGGUACUACUGGCCAACGAUCCUCGAAGACUGUUUCAAAUAUUAUAAGGGGUGUCAGGAUUGUCAAAAGUUCAGAAAUGUCCAACGUGCACCUGCAUCGGCCAUGAAUCCCAUUAUCAAGCCAUGGUCGUUCAGGGGAUAGGGAAUAGACCUUAUCGGCCAAAUUUACCCUCUAUCAAGUAAAGGGCAUAAGUUUAUUCUGGUGGCUACUGAUUACUUUACCAAAUGGGUGGAGGCAAUUCUGUUAAGAGCUGUGACAUCGGCUAUCAUGGCCGACUUCGUAAGAGAUCACAUUGUCUAUCGAUUCGGCAUUCCUCAGACUAUAACGAUCGAUCAAGGAACAAUGUUCACAUCGGGGGAAUUCGAGGAAUUUACAACCGAUAUGGGGAUCAAAUUGUUGAAUUCUUCUCCGUAUUACGCCCAAGCCAAUGGUCAGGCCGAAUCCUCCAACAAAGGGAUAAUCAAGUUGAUCAAAAGGAAAAUCGAGGAACAGCCAAAGAAGUGGCAUCUAUGUUUGACUGAGGCCCUAUGGGCGUACAGAAUGGCUUGUCAUGGGGCUACCAAGUUAUCUCCCUAUCAGUUGGUGUACGGUCACGAUGCAGUACUACCAUGGGAAUCGAGGGCGGGAUCGAGGCGUAUUUCGCUCCAGGACCAGUUAACGGCCGAUGACUACUCAUCACUCAUGAAAAGGGAGCUUGAUGAUUUGGCUGGCCAACGAUUGAGUGCUCUGAUAAGCAUUGAAGAAAACAAAAAGAAAGUCGCCAGGUGGUACGAUAAGAAGGUCAAAGUCAAACAAUUCUCCCCUGGGGACUUAGUAUGGAAGUUAGUACUGUCGAUUGGGUCGAAAGAUCCUAAAUUCGGAAAAUGGUCCCCUACAUGGGAAGGGCCGUAUAAAAUCGGCAGAUGUGCUCCAGGGAAUGCUUACAUUUUGGAAAUAAUAGAGGGGGAAGAAUUUACUAGAGCUCUGAACGGAAGGUACUUAAAAAGAUACUAUCCCAGUAUAUGGGUCGGAGCAUAAGGGAUUAACCGUAAUACGAUCACACACAGCCGAUACAAAACGGUUCAAACACAUAGUCGUCCAAAUCGGCCGAUGUAUUCAUUCGGUACGGGCGAUGGGUUACACGGCCGACAAAACACAAGUCGCCCUUAGAACAAAAAACACAAAUAACUAAUUAUUCUUCUUCUUGCGCUCCCCCUCAGUCCGAUCCAACUCAUUCAUGAGACAGAGGUAUUCUUCUUCUAUUUCUUUCAUUGAAGCCUCCGCUUCAACUUGGCGAGGGAGAGGAUGGCUCCGGUCCAUGGCCGGGCGCGAAGUUCCUGCCGCCGCGUCUUCAAGAACGACUCGCGGAGGAAGCAGAUGGCUCCUAUCGGUUGGAGAUCGCCGGCUACCAUUGCUCUCCACAAAAUCCAAGCCCACACGAGCCUCCGCGGUGACGUGGUCUUGAAGUUCGUCACGAUGAGCCCUGAUCAGCUCCUGAUCCUCUGACGACAAUGGGUCCUCAGAGUGUAUGAGCUCAAUGGCGCGUACGAGCUCAGGGCUAAGGCGUUGAGGCUGAAACAAAGAAAGAUUAAAAAGGGGGCAUCCUCUUCCUAAGAUCUAAAAGGAGAAAGGGGAGUCGAGGCCAAGGUUUCACCUGGUUGACGGAGGAGGAGGAGGCCGACGAAGACAUGACGGAAGGCCGCACCGACGAGAGGAGUAAAGAGAAUAAAACCGAAAGCCAAACUGGUACCCUCGGAAGGAAGUGCCUAGGCCGGCACUUAUAAGAAAAAGAGGCGUGGAAAUUUGGUAAUGAUACGUCCCAUCGGAAAUAAGAAAGGCAAUAAAUAGAAAGGGCGCCGCGAAGGGUGGUCAAAGCGGAUAGUAAAUGUUCGUACAAAAUAGCCAGUGUUUUACAGACUACCCAGAAGGGUAUCGCUAGCCGCGAUUGCCUGACGCCGGAUCUGAUCGGCAGAGUCCAGGACCCGUUGGUCUUCAUCCGCCGAUCCGGGGACUUCUGAUGCGCUGCGAUGGAGUUUUAGGGCCUCGUGGGCCAAGUGCUGCCUCUCCCGUUUCAAAUCGGCAAUGACAGAAGGGAGUUCUUGGAGCCUCUUCUCUUCGGCACUGAUUGCUUUGGUCACUUGCUCUAUCUCCUUGGCGAGCUCCGCCCUCCGACGCUUGAGGCGGUCUAUCUCACCUAUGAUCCCCGGGCGGGAAUUCUCCAGAAAAUGGAUACGUCGGUGUGCCUCUUGAGCUUGGCGCUUGAACGCGUCCUCCUCUUCACGAGUCUUGGCCAGCUUGGCGCGAUCGGCCAUGUGACGAAGGGCUCUGAAGACCGGGAUCCUCAUAGACUCGAUGAAUGCCGCCGGUGCCAAGGCUUCCUCCGCCUCUUCUGGUACUCGUCCGCUGACGUCACCGAAGAGCUGCCGAAUCGGUGAAGCAUCUUCUACUAAUCGGCCGAUGUCCCCUUGAAGGAGGGAUCGGAUACUAGCGAGUUUGGCUCGGACGUCAUCAGGAAUGGAACUCAAGGCGACUUGGCGGGAAGCGACUUCUUCAUUAUCGGAGAGGGCAACCGCAAAAGAGAAGAGGCUGUUGUCGGGGGUGUCUUGUUCCUGGAGAUAAUAAAGAGGGAGAAAUAAACCGGCUGAAGGUGGAAGCAAAUCGGCUAAAUAAAGCCGGAAUAUAACUUACCACUUUGAAGCGAAUUUCUUCAUGUUGCAUUUGGGAAGCCGUCAUGCCUUGCUCAGGGGCUUGUGCCAUGGGUUCGUCAGAAGAGGAAGACUCCACAACGAUCGGCGCGGUGCUUGGACCAGCUCCCUGAGAAAAGACCGGUGGUUGAGGAGCGCUUGGUGUACCGAUGACCUGUGUCAGAGAAUUGAAUAAGUACAUUAUGCAAAUACCAGGGAAAAUCGGUGAAAUAGAGCUAUACCUCAACGGAUAGAAGUGGGGGCGCGUCGACGGCCGAUUGGGCUGCUGCCGAUUGUCGGAUAUCCAUGGGAGUGCUCUGUGCAGUCUAAAGAUAAGAAGGGUUAAUAUCAGAACAACAAUCGGGAGGAGUAAAACUUAGGUUUACCUGAACGGCCUCCAACAACAAUGACGCGGCGGCUGCUCCAGCUUGUGCCAUGACUUGGGUAUCAUCAUCUUUGGUGGCCUGAGGGGGUGGCGCGGCCGGAGUCUCUGCCGAUACGAGCGUAGGAGGAUCCGCCGAUUCUAUACGAGCUCGGACUCGACGACUGGUUUUUUUGGUGAUCCUCUUCUGAACUUGUUUCGAUCGGCCAGCAAUCACGUCCACAGACGGAGCAUCAUAGCCAAUAAGAGGAUAAGAGGUGUAUGGAUGAUGACUCUCUAUUAGCCGACCACUCCGGCUGUGUGUUGGAGGUGUACGGUUCUCGACCUGAAGAAAUAAUAAAACUAUUAGUAUUCAAUCACGUUAAGAGGAGUAAGAAUCGGCUAAGGAAAAUACCUCGGCAUUCGGGUCAAUGUUGGCUGGAUCCAGGAGGUUGUAGUAUGCCGAUGCCGAAUUGCAGAAGAGAAAUUGCUUCCAAUCGGCCCACCAGAGUUUGAACGGCUGGACAGCAAAGGGAGCUACUAUCCAGUUGUUCAGGUCAAUGGUGUUGGAGUCCGGAAUCCGGUCGCGUACCCGACUGUAAUCCAGACCGGAUGUGAGCUCAUCUUUGAACUUGACUCGGCCAGCAAAAUACACUUGAAUCGGCAGCUGACCCAUGCCGAACUGACGUGCUGCAACGGAAGGGUUGUAAAACUCAUACGUGGGGGCAUCUUUCCCCGAAAAGAAGUUGGCUGGCAAGAUUCCUGGCUUGAUUAACUCAUCAUUGAGCUCUUCGUCAAAUCGGCCAGUGAUCGAAUCGAAGCAGGUGGGGAGUUCAAAGAUUGGGUUAUCCCGCCGAUAAGGAAACCAAACGGUUGCAUCUUCAUUAAAGCCAUUAUAGAAGCAUCGGAAGUACUCGGCUACCUUUGUAGCAGAAUAUGUGCAACCUGGAAAGGCCGAUACUGCUUCACCAAAAGACAUGCAUCGGCGACGUUCAGUAGGAUCUUCUGCCGAUUCAAUGUUGGGAAACAUCAUACGGUCCACCCUAUGCUGAGUGAUCUCGCUCAUGUAGAGGUUCAACCAUAGGUUGAUAAACCACCAGGGUCCGCCUGGAUUUCCGAUCGGCUCUCCCUUGGAUAGUCUGAUGCCGAUUUGAUGGAGCAUGUGGUACAUCGCCCCUAGCAAGUGUUUCCCAAGGGGGACACGGUUUCCUCUGGACAGUGCUUCGGCUAAAGCCUGGGUGUUGGUUGAUGGGCCGGCGGCUCUUCCACAAAAGAAGUGUUUUUCUAACCACAUCAUUAAGAAGGCCGUAUGCUCCCUAUUCUCAACAGACCCGGUUCUUUUAUUACUUCUGAUGAAACCCUUCCACCCGCCGAUUCCCCUUGUGUCCAGCCGAUGUGACGUUGUGGCUAAAAGGUGGAAAGGUGUGUCCGGGGAAGAAAUGUCAAGGCCGGUCAACAGAACCACAUCGGCUAGUGUUGGGGUCAUAGGUCCGUGCCCAAAUAAGAAAGCAUUGAGUGCAUCAGACCAAAAAUAAGAAGCCUCUAUUACCAACGGCUCAUUUUCUCCAUGUGGGACAAGGAUAGGUUGAUGCACUGGCCGAUUUUGAGCUCCUCCCACGAGACGCUCUUCGACGCGGCUACCCGUUGGUACCACUCCCUCCAACCUGGGGUUUCAUUCGGCCAGGACCUAAAAGUGCCCAACCAUUGAUCUAAGUCCAUGUCGGACAGUUUGAAGGGUAUCCUGUGGGUUUCUAAAUUGAUGAACUCUAUCGGAUCUGGGUUCCCCAUGGGUCCGAGGCAAAUAAGACCGGGAUUUCCCGUAAUAUGAAUGGUAAUGCGAUGCCUGACCGCCUAAAAAAGGAAAGGGGGGUGUAAAAAGGUAAGAAACAGAUCUAGAGUAAAUGCAUUGCCAAUGGGGGAAGGAUUCGGUAAAAACCUCUGGGAUGAAGUUCCGUGUGGUCGGCGUGGUCGCCGGUGCAGAUGCGGACGAUGAGGCCGUGAUGGGGAUCGCCAUUGGGAUCUCCGAUGAAGCUCCUUCUUCUGUUGAUGGAGCAACUGCCGUUGCCACUACCGCCGGAGGUGCCACUUCCGGAACAUCGUGUGCUGGAGAGCUGCUGGAAGGAGCCGCCAUUGGAGAGGAAGAGAAGAAGCAACGGGCGGUUGGCGCUAGGAAGCUCUGACGGCAAGAGAAAAGGUGCUAAAGGAAGAAGAAGGCGCGCGCUGAGAAAGGAAGACGUGAACUUGAAGAUGAAGUGCGGGGGUGAACCGCUAUUUAAAGGGCGCCUGAAGAAGGGUAAAAAUGGGAUUUUCACCGCGCCGGCGUUUCGAGUUUUUCGGGAGUAGUGGUUGUCGUGGGCGCCCGUUUCGAAAAGAUUGCAAUCAUCAGCUGGAAGACCGCGAAACAGAAGGAUAUUUUCAUUGCGGCUGUUUCGGAGGGGAGGUUAUAAAGAAUUUUGAAGUAAAAGAUUAUGUUUUACUCCGAAACUGGGGGGCAUGUGUUGACGCCAGAUUUCGUCACUAGUAAAAUCGGCGCCAAGAAAAGAAGGAAACGGAGAAGCACAGUUGGGAAUCGGCCGAAUGGUGCUACAGUACGAGAUCGGCCGAUGACUUCCGUCUCGCCUCGGGUCGAGCGUGCCGGGUUCCCAAUCGGUUGCCUCUUGCCGAUAAGGAAUCGGCCGAUUAGGAGGUUGGGUUAAUUGGGCCUGUAUGGGCUUGGAAAGGAAUAAAAGGAUGAGGGGGAGAUCAGCCCAUGAAGCGUAGAGUAACCAACCUAGCACGAAUCGUGCUUGUAAAUAUUCAUUUUCUGUUUGAAUUAGGGAUAGAAUUCUAGUCGGAUAAGAAGUCAUCUAUAAGGGGCUAUAAAUAGCUACCUUUGUAAAUCUGUGAUCAUCAACAAAUCAAUACAACAUACUACUUUUUCCUCGUACUUACUUUCAAGCAGACGACUUCGUCAUUACUUUUCUCUUUUUCACGAGUUCGUGCGGGUUGGCAGGGCUGCAUCAGUUUGAUCUCCGGCCGAUUCUGUAAGUUCCGCUUAUCGAGUAAUAUCUAAACUUUAACUUCGGGCGUAUCGCUGUUGUUUCAUUUAGAUUUAUUCACUAGUUAUCGAUAUUUGCUAGAUUCAUAGGUUUUACCUGUCUUUCUAGUUUUAUCACCAGUUAUCCAGCUAGGAAUCGGUAGUUUCGGCUUUCUUCACGUUCUGCUUUUGAAUUCAUCUAUUGCCGAUUAGAUCUGUUCCUAGUGUUGUUAUCUUAGCUCUGUGUCGAUUACUCUAGUAGUUUUCUGUCUACAAGGCUACAGUCAUCGGCUGCCUUAUAGCCGAUUUCUUUAUUACGGCAAAUCGGCCGAUUCGCUGAUAAGCUCUCUCGAGAUCGGAAACCUAGCCGAUCGCGAUUUCUGGACCUGACACGUAUUCUUCCUUGCCAAUCAACAGGUCAGAUUGGCUGGCACGCCGCGCGAACCGCACCAGGGCAAUCACCCGAACAGGAGUUAAGCAGAUUCUCCCGGGUCGUGUGUCAGACGCUGGGAUUCGGUUAACCGAUUUCUAGCGCUAACAGAGGUUUUCUGCAGAUUAUGGCACUGGUGAUUUUGAUGUGGACAAGUCGGAAAAUCGUUGCUCGAAGUGCCCCAAGAUCAUUAGGAAUUACACGUGCCGCAAUAGAAAAUCUAAAGGCACGAAAUCUAGGGGGAACAGUAAUAGGCUGCGUUCUUUGAACAAUAGGGUAUGCGCGUUGCUCGUAUUUUGCAUGGUUAUCAUUUUAUCUUUUUUUUUAUAGUAGUAAAUUAUCAUAGUUACCGUACUUAUCAUAUAAUGAAGCAUUUUACUAAUGAUCUUGUUUGUUGUUUCUUUAGGAUGGCAGCCCCGGCGUACCCUCUUCUUGAGUCGGCUUACGACUUGCAGCACCGUGCCCACCACCUCGCGGAUCUAAAUGAGGUACUACAUCAGUUAUUAACAAUGGUUGCUAAUUUAUGCUGAUGAAUGCAUACCUUAGGAUGAUAACUGCAAGAUUUUCGUAUGAAAUGUUCUUACAAAUUGAGGAUGUGCCUGUCGUUACUAUUUGCUUGUGUACAAUGUAAACAAUUUCAUACUGAAAUGUCAUUUAUAUCAUAUUUGUGUUACUUACCACUUUAGUAGCCCUUGAUUCUCAAAUGCAUUGACUUCUCAUUUUUGUAAUAAUCUUAUAAUGUUUUGCAGGAUUUGAAACCACUCAGGGCUAAAGUGCACUCACCACUUAGGUAGGAUGAGCGGUACGUGGAGUACUUGCAGAGAGCUGGUUUUUGGGAUCUUGCUGUUCAGGUUGCAACACCGUCCACUGCUGCAGGUCCUAGCAGGAGAUCACGAGGCAAGGAACCCCCAUCCCCUCAGGCAAGCGAGGACUCUAAAGGUGAGCAGUCUGAGGAUGACGACCCUACAUAUGGUGAGGAACUGGAGAUUUCCGGCAUGAUCGAUGCUCCACCUAUGACUCAGACACAUCGUGAGUCCAGCUAGGUACAUUCACAAGUUUCCCCAAAUUCAAUUCUAGAUUGUUAAUGUUCACUCCCGAAGUGUCAUACAAAUAUCCAGAUCUAUAUAAAAUGGUCAUCAAACAUAUGAUGUAUGGUCCUUGCGGCAUAUUAAACAUAAAUUGCCCUGCACAAAGAAUCGAGCAUCUUGCAAAAACAAUUAUCCAAGACCAUUUAAUGAAACUACAAUUCAAGGCAAGGACUCCUACCCAUUGUAUAGAAGACGAAAUGACGGUCACACUGAAACAGUCCGGAACUGUAAACUAGAUAACAGAUGGGUUGUUCCUUGCAACCUGUUGACACCGGAUUUUGACCAAUCCUAUAAAUUCGGAGUACAAGAUAAUUGGAGUCACGUACAACAAUAAGAAGCUAGCAUGCGUGUAUAUGGGCACGGAGUCCAAAUCGGCUUGAUUGGAUUGAUCGGCAAGGAGAGGCAAGGAUGAUAUAAAGGAAUGGCCAGCACGUAUGGAUAAAAAUGAUUAGAAUAUACAACAUGGAUUCUGGUGCACUUUGCAUGCCAUGCGUGGGAGGCUUCCAGAAUAAUUAUUCAUACCGAUCUGUGCAUGUACGGGAGGUUGUUUCAUAGAAUAAAAUAUUUUAGAGAUAGAGUUGGGUUAGUUAGAGAUAGAGUUUUUUAUUAGAAAAGAUUGUGUACGUGACUUGCCUUGUGCGUGGUUAGAUGCCAAUUAUGUAACGUCCGCCCUAUAAAUAUAAAGGGACGUGGCCAUUGUAAAGAAUCAUCACACGAUCAAUAAACAAACAUAUUUACCUUUACCUUUCGGCUCCACGCCAUUUCCCUAGGAGUAGGAGUAAUGUAGUUUCUCGACGAGUUCCUUCUAGCAAGCUGGGCUGCAUCGACCUCGAUCUCCGGUGAGCUGCAAGUUCCGUCACCAGGUGUUCUAGGCUUUAACCACCGGGCGCAUCGCUGUGGUUUCUUCUAGUUUCAUCUACUAGUUAUCGAGUAUCUUGGAUCUUUGACUUACGGCGCAUCGCUUCUAUCUCGAUCUACGGUAUUUACCAGUUAUCCCACCUUGAUUAAGCUUGCAUCGGCUGAUAUUUGUCUGUUCUAUCGUCUUGCCGUUUACGACAUAUUAAUUGUUAUUAAUUCUGUCGGAAUAGACGAUAGAUCUAUUCUUAAUAGCCUGUUGCAUCUUAAUCUUGGUUACCCUUUCGAGUGCUGUUGGGAUUAAGUUUCGUUAUGAUUGGAUUCAUCGGCUGGCGAGGUUCAGAUUAACAUCCUGCUAAAUAUUUCUAGACUGCAACUACCGGGCGCAUCGCUGUGGUUUCACCUAGAGAUAUUGGUGGAGAGUUUAGUUUAGAUCUUAUCGGCUUGUAACUCUAGCUAUGGUGGAGCAGUAGCUCAACAGCAUCCUGUUUUCUAUCAGCCGUCUGGCUGAUGGUUAUUGUAAAUUAUAUUAAAUCGGCCCGAUCGGCCGACUCCAUCGAACUUCGAGAGAAUUAUCUCCACCUUGUCAGUUGAAUGGUCAAACUGACUGGCACGUCCGCGCACACUAUGCGCGCCGAUUUGGAUUCUGCACUGGAGUUAAGCAGAUCUCCCAGGUCCUCAUGUGGUGAUGCAGGGUCCACCACCUUCAGGAUUUUGCGUCAACACAUUUUGGCACGCCUGGUGGGACACGGUUAUAAGGCUCACAUUUUUAUUCAAUAAAAAAGCAUCUUCAGCAGCUGUAUCAUGUUCAUCGGCAUCGGCGUGUUGGAGUUAAUUCAAAUCAAUAUAAUAUUCCAACCAGAAGAGCCGAUGGUACAGAAAGAUGAUCUUAAUUUCAAUCGGCUGCACAUUGUAUAGAUAAAUUUGAUGCUAGAUCAAUUACGGAGGAAACCGAUACAACAUCGACAUCAUCAUUCCUUACUGAUGUUAUAUAUCGGCUAGUUCAGAGGAAACAAGUAUCGGCUGGGCACAUAGUAGCUGUUUUUUAUCAGCCAAAGAAAACAAAGCAUCGGCCGAUGGAAUAUAAUCGGCAAGCAUAGUGGCCGAUGGAAUUAUUUUUUAGCCAAUGGAACUGUUUUUUCAGCCGAUAGAAGUAUUUUUCAGCUGAUGCAACAUUUUUUUAGCCGAUUGGAAAAGCUCCAGCGGGUGGGCAAAAGAGAAAUAAAAAAAAUGCAUCGGCAGUUGUAUCGGCUGAUUGGAAGAAUUAAAAGGGAUCGGCCGAUUGGAAAUUGCAUCGGCUGAUGGAAAAUGGGAUCGGCCGAUUGGAGUUGUAUCAGCUGAUUAAGAAAAAAAAUAACGGCCGAUCAUAGAGAAAGAUAUCAGCCGAUUAGCAUCAGUCAGUUGGAAUUAGAAAAAAAAACAAAGAGAGGCAUCGGCCGAUUAGCGUCAGCCUGUUGGAAUUAAAAAAAAACAGAGAGAGGCAUCGGCCGAUUAGCGUCAGCCAGUUGGAAUUGAAAGAAAAAAAAAACGUGGCAUCGGCCGAUGGAAAAUUAGUUCAGCCGAUUGGGAAAAAAAGAAAAAAAAAAGUGGCAUCGGCCGAUGGAAAAUUGGUAUUGCCGAUUGAAAAAAAUAGAAGAAGGAAAAAGUUGGCAUCGGCCGAUAAAAAAUUGGUUUAGCGGAUUGAAAAUUGCUAAUCGGCUGAUUGAAGAGAAGCAUCGGUGUAUUGGUUAAAAAAAAGUGUAGGGAAGCAUCGGCGGGUUAGUUAAAAAAAAAGCAUCGCCCAGUUGGAAUUAAAAAAAAAGGAAAGGCCAAUUACUACUUUUGUUGGUAAUCGGUCUAGCAAAUUGCAGCCUAGAAUAUAAAUGGUUCGGCCAGGAUGAAUAGUGGCAAGCAUUAAACCGAAGAGCCAGCCGGGGCUAGUUGUGUACACACUGACGAUAGAAAAAUAUAUGAGAUCUAUUGAGUCAUCAGGGACAGCCAAUGACUAAAUUUGCAAGAAUCUCAGCCGAUUGUGUAGUACAAUCAGUCAUCGGCUAUGCCUCAACUCAUGGGAAACUUCUAGCACCCUCAGAUUGGAAUGUACUGGCAGCAGAACGCUGGAGUUCAACUCCAGCCGAUAGGAGGCCACGCACCCCCAGCUUUUGGAGUUCAGCCGAUUGCCCAGUUGCCAAAUCGGCAGGCAGGGGUUUAGCAUCAUGACGGACAUCAGCAGGUUGAUUGGGUGCAUUAGAUAGCCGAUGUGAUUCAGAAUCAUUUCGAUUUGAAACCCAGGGAGCAGGGAGCAGGAGUACAUGCAUCGGCAGCCAUGAAGGAUAUAUAUAUAUAUAUAUAUAUAUAUAUAUAUAUAUAUAUAUAUAUAUAUAUAUAAAGGGGAUAGCCAAUGGAGGAGUCUGACCUGAAAUCAGAUCGGCCACGGAAGGGGUAUGAAGUUCUCCAUUCGUUGUACACUAGGCGACCAUGACGAAAGAAAGAGAAAAAGAAAGGAGCAGUCGGCCGAUUGGGAAAAGAAUUGAUAAAAAAGGAGGAGGCGGUCGGCCGAUGGGCAAAGGAACGAGUGAAAGCAGGGCAAAAGAAAAAAAAAAAGAAAGAAAGAAAUAAGAGAAGCAUCGGCCGAUUGAUUAGAAAAAAAAAAAGAAAGCAUCGGCCACAUUGGUGCGUUGACAAAAGAGAGGGGCAUCGGCCAUUCGUGCGUCUCCUUAUUGAUAAGAAAAAUCGGCCGAUUGAAAAUUGGAUCGGCUGAUCAAAAGUUGUAUCGGCCGAUUAAAAAAAAUUAUAUAUAUAUAUAUAUACAUCGACCGAUUGAAAUAAAGAAAGCAUCGGCUGGCUGGUUCAAAAGAUGCAUCGGCUGACUGGUUCAAAAGAUGCAUCGGCCGAUUGAGAUAAGGGAAGCAUCAGCUAAUUAAAUACAUCGGCCGAUUGGGAUAUAUAUAUAUAUAUAUAUAUAAGGGUAUCGGCUAAUUGAAAAAAUUGCAUCAGCCGAUUGAAAAUUGGAUAGGCCGAUUGAAAGUUGUAUCGGCUAAUUAAAAAAAUGCAUCGGCCGAUUAACUGCUUGGCAAAAGGCAUCGGCCGAUUGCUUCGGCCGAUUGAUUGCUUGGCGAUAAGCAUUGGCUGAUUGCUUGGCCAAUAAAAAAAUUCAGCUGAUUGGAUCAAGGAAAAUAGUAUCGGCUGCUUAUAAAAUAUAUUGGAUAUUAAUUUCGAAGCAUGAAAUAUUCAUACUUCGAAACUGGGGGGCCUGUGUUGACAACAAAAGCUUGCUAGUUACUGCACCAAGUUUUGGUGUCAAUAGACUGAUCUGUUGUUUCUACUGCCGGCAAUGCCGAUGGUGUUCUUUAUAUUUGAAGAGGAGUCGACGUGGCUUUGGAUAUUGCAAUCAGACGUCAUUAGCUCUAAAGACAAGUAUCAGACUUCUAUAAUUAGUUUCGGAACAUGAAGCAUUCAUACUCCGAAACUGGGGGGCCUGUGUUGACACCGGAUUUUGACCAAUCCUAUAAAUUCGGAGUACAAGAUAAUUGGAGUCACGUACAACAAUAAGAAGCUAGCAUGCGUGUAUAUGGGCACGGAGUCCAAAUCGGCUUCAUUGGAUUGAUCGGCAAGGAGAGGCAAGGAUGAUAUAAAGGAAUGGCCAGCACGUAUGGAUAAAAAUGAUUAGAAUAUACAAUAUGGAUUCUGGUGCACUUUGCAUGCCAUGCGUGGGAGGCUUCCAGAAUAAUUAUUCAUGCCGAUCUGUGCAUGUACGGGAGGUUGUUUCAUAGAAUAAAAUAUUUUAGAGAUAGAGUUGGGUUAGUUAGAGAUAGAGUUUUUUAUUAGAAAAGAUUGUGUACGUGACUUGCCUUGUGCGUGGUUAGAUGCCAAUUAUGUAACGUCCGCCCUAUAAAUAUAAAGGGACGUGGCCAUUGUAAAGAAUCAUCACACGAUCAAUAAACAAACAUAUUUACCUUUACCUUUCGGCUCCACGCCAUUUCCCUAGGAGUAGGAGUAAUGUAGUUUCUCGACGAGUUCCUUCUAGCAAGCUGGGCUGCAUCGACCUCGAUCUCCGGCGAGCUGCAAGUUCCGUCACCAGGUGUUCUAGGCUUUAACCACCGGGCGCAUUGCUGUGGUUUCUUCUAGUUUCAUCUACUAGUUAUCGAGUAUCUUGGAUCUUUGACUUACGGCGCAUCGCUUCUAUCUCGAUCUACGGUAUUUACCAGUUAUCCCGCCUUGAUUAAGCUUGCAUCGGCUGAUAUUUGUCUGUUCUAUCAUCUUGCCGUUUACGACAUAUUAAUUGUUAUUAAUUCUGUCGGAAUAGACGAUAGAUCUAUUCUUAAUAGCCUGUUGCAUCUUAAUCUUGGUUACCCUUUCGAGUGCUGUUGGGAUUAAGUUUCGUUAUGAUUGGAUUCAUCGGCUGGCGAGGUUCAGAUUAACAUCCUACUAAAUAUUUCUAGACUGCAACUACCGGGCGCAUCGCUGUGGUUUCACCUAGAGAUAUUGGUGGAGAGUUUAAUUUAGAUCUUAUCGGCUUGUAACUCUAGCUAUGGUGGAGCAGCAGCUCAACAGCAUCCUGUUUUCUAUCAGCCGUCUGGCUGAUGGUUAUUGUAAAUUAUAUUAAAUCGGCCCGAUCGGCCGACUCCAUCGAACUUCGAGAGAAUUAUCUCCACCUUGUCAGUUGAAUGGUCAAACUGACUGGCACGCCCGCGCACACCAUGCGCGCCGAUUUGGAUUCUGCACUGGAGUUAAGCAGAUCUCCCAGGUCCUCAUGUGGUGAUGCAGGAUCCACCACCUUCAGGAUUUUGCGUCAACACAACCCAUACCUAUUGCACUUUUUCAACUGCCACAUAAAUGUUGAGGUAUGCUCAAGCAUUAAAGCCGUUAAGUAUCUGUUCAAAUACAUCUACAAGGGACAUGACCGGGUCUCUGUAUCUGUAACUGGAGCAGAUGCUGAAGGAGAAAUUGAUGAAAUUAGACAGUACAGAAACGCACGGUGGGUUACACCUCCAGAAUUAAGCAUGCAAGUGCUAAGAGCCGAUAUAUAUCUUUGACUCUAUUGGAAGUGUUUGAAGUGAGCAAUACAUCAUUUUAUAUAAAUCCAAUCCAUUUGAUCACAUUAAAAUUCAUGAGACAAGUCUCUCUGUCCCCGUUAAGUCAUAUAUGAAGGGUCAAAACAAACAGGUAUAAAAACAUUGACUAGUACAUAAACCGUAUGUAUAAUUGGUGGUAUGUUUGCCGGUAUGUAAAAGUUAUAUUGUUUAUGCGGAUCUAUCUACUUAUACCUAUAGUAAUCACAGAUGCUCUAGAAAAUCCCACGUCAACGAGAAAGAGAAAAUAUCUAGCCAUUGAUCCAUCGUGGCCCCCUUUUUUUAGCCGUUCAGAUUUAAAACAGUACAAUUAGUUAUUAGUUACUUGCAUUUGGUUAACUUUGCUAGGUUGUUCUAAGGAUAAUAGGUGCAAAUGGACAGUGGGGCCACUGGUGGACGUGCGUUCCUUGACAGAGCAUGCCUACACGAGAACUAAGGAAGACCGGCUGUGUGGACGUGGAGGAUGUGAUAUUACACGAUGCUGGAACAUGGACGGUUGCCACGUUAAUCCUCGGGUACAAAUUAGAAUUCAUUACAAUUUUUAGGAAAAAUAUGUACGGAUGUAUGAUCCGUUAGAGGAAAAGUGAAUAGGACGGACCAAAAUGUUGGAUCCUUUGUUGGAAAAAUGGUUUGAAUUUUGGCAAUGUGAGUAAGGAUUUCCUUUGUUUUGAGAGAGAGCCAAAUAGAAUUACAUUAUUUGUUAAUGUUCGUCUCAUAUUGAUUUUCAAUCUUAAAAAAAUGAUGCACUAUUUCAACUACAAUCACAUUAAGCGAAACAUAAAAUUCGAUCCAUCUUGGCCUCUCGAGCUAUGUGAGUAGGAGAACAGCAUAGCAAAGAUAAACGAUCUAAUUAAUCUUCCUAGGAAGAGCUUUGAACUCUUGGAAACAACAAAAUGAAAUCAUGCAAUUCGAUUGGCAAAGUGACAAUACAUCAUCGGUACAAUGAUCAAAAAUAGCGAUUCUUGGCGAGGUACAAAUGUAUGAUCCAUUGUUGGGAAAGCAAAUAAGACGGACUAAACUUUUUGUCACAUUGAUUUUCAGCCACUAAAAAAAGCGAUGAGGUAAGAUAGUCAUUUGUUUCUAAAUACACAGUACAACAUAGUCAUUGUUUCUAGUCCGUUGCGGUGCGGUGAGAUAAGAAUAAAUAAUCACAUGACAAGACAUGGCAUGGCAGGCUAUGACGCAACAUCAUGACUAGGGAACACCAAAAGCACCAAGGAAGAUGAACAGAUUCUUGCCGAUGUCCCAUCAUAGAGCAAAUAAAGCAGGAUAAAAGGGGAUUGAUCUUCGAACUAGAAAAUAGGGGAUCGAUCUUUCCAUUGAUCUUACAAAUAAAAGAUAACAGCAUAGCAAAGAUGGCCAGGGUUCCAACAAAAUCUAAAUCUAAAAUUACUAAUUAACAGCAUAGCAAAGAUAACAGCUGGCCAGGGUUCCAACAAAAUCUAAAUCUAAAGUUAUUAAUUAACAGCAUAGCAAAGAUAACAGCAUUGAUCUUCCACUAGCGCGGCUUGCUCACUCCAUUCACCCCUCAUUCCCGGCCAUGACGUGGUGGCGGCUCCACUUCUUAUGGUUCUCGCCCCUCAGGGGGUGGACCCAGAAUGUGGUCCUUGACCUCAUUCAGGAUCCCCCACCGAUGCCUCGUUCCAGGGUAGACAGGGCACGCGAAGGUGUUGUCAGCGCGGUGAAAGACGCGUAGAGCAUCACCCCGGGGGAAGGGCGUGUGGUAGUCGCGGCGCCAGUCGUCAGAUGAGUCCGUCAGUUUGGGAGUCGGAGUCGAACCCAUCAGCUGGAAGGGUCACAAUCAAGGUCAACUCUUGAUGCGGUGAUGAGGGCGUGAGGGUGGAGGAAGCCGCCCCCACUGUCGGAGGAGCCCGGGAACGCACCGGGGAGCCCACAAUAGCUCCGCAGCGACCAUCCACGAGCGAUAGCAGGUUGAGGUCGGCGGCGUUGGAGCGCGAUCCCGACGACGAGUGCAAUGGCCACCCAAGGUCACUGGCGUCAGAGUGGGAUACCGACGAGGAAGCACCGCCGUAACGGGACGACCCCACUGCGUGGACGUAGCGCCAUAGCGCUGCCGUGAAGUUGCGGGCAGUGGCGCGGCAGUAGCACGGCGACAACCCGCCACAGGAGCACGACGACGAUGAGGGGGACCUUUAGUCCUGAAUGAUUAGUUUCGGUUGAUUUUUCGAGAGAUACGAGGCUUACCAAGCAGAACUAAUGCUCAUAUUUUCCAGAACCAAUGCUCAUAUUUCCACUAGUGAGUGCAAGGUUCCCUCGACGCAUAAGACGAUUUAUCCACCGUGGUUCCUAACCACAAGUAGAAAUGCACACAUUUACUAGGGGCGGUUCCUUAAGAGAAGUGUAUUUUCCAGGGGCAGUUCCUUAAGAUAAGUACCGAUAGAAAUCUGGCAGUGUUCAGGUACAGUGCGCGAAAGCAACUGCUAGUGACUGUAGAUAACGAUAUCCAUCGAUAGAAAUAAAGGCUAGUAUCACAUCUAAAAACUAGCUUUGAUAUUCAGCUCAGAUCCGUGCCUCUAACUUUUCGUGCUCAUUAUAUAAAUCAUAAAUUUCCUAAAAAAUUAACAAAAUCGUGCAUAAAAAUCCAGAAUGUUUAUCAAAAGGUAAGAUUCAAAUCAGUGGUAGAUGUUCAGGAUUAAAUACUUUCUUACUCCACAUAUUUUUGUUAGGUGAGGAGGCAUUGCAAGUUUGCAACUGUUGAAUGAAAUACUUCUCGUUGUAUCAUUGUGCAUGUACAUUAAGUUCUGGAGGCUGAGAAAUUACCCGUUGUACCCCAUGGACUGGCCGGUUGUGGGCAUGCUCCCUUCCCUCGUUGCCAAUCUCCACAACUUCCACGACGAACUCACUGUCGUCCUUGCCACCAACGGGUGUAACUUCAAGGCGCGAGGGCCGGUAGCAAGUGGCAUGCGGUUCUUCGUCACCGCUGAACCGGCAAACGUCCGGCACAUCUUCACCUCCAACCAUGCAAACUACCCCAAGGGCGAGGAUUUUGCUGAAAUCUUCGACAUCUUUAGCGGCACCAUCUUCACCAUUGAUGGUGAGGCCGGCCGCCAGCAUAGAGCCAUGUUCCAGAACAUCUUGAGCAAUCCACGGUUACUUGCCUUGAUGGCAAGUUGCUGCCGUGACAAGGUGGUGAACGGACUCCUCCCGUUCUUGACCCGCAUGGGCAGCACCAGGACAACGUUCGACAUGCAGGAUUUGAUCACAAGGUUGGUGUUCGACCUUACUGCCACGCCGAUCUUCGGUGUCGACCCGGGUUGCCUGUCCAUCAGCAUGCCGUCUAUCCAUGUUGCAACCGCCAUGGACACGUUCAUGGAGGUCGGCUUAUUCCGGCACACCAUGCCGGCUUGUUUCUGGAAGGUGAUGAGACGGCUAAACAUCGGUCCAGAGAGGAAGCUGGCCAUGGCGGAAACAGUGAUGCAUGCUUUCAUCAGGGAGAUGACUGAGAAGUCGAAAGCCAGGUGCGCCGAUCUCCUUGAUGAUGUGUUGGCCAUGGACAUUAUUUCUGCUAACCCAUCAGUGGGCAGAGACGAUGUCCUACUACGUAAUGUACUCAUCGUUCACAUGAUCGCCGGGCGGGACACGGUUGGUACCACGCUACCGUGGGUAUUCUACAACCUCGCCAGGAACCCCCGUGUGGUCUCUUGCAUCCGCAAGGAACUGGCACCCAUCGCAUCGCUCAAGGCCACUGCUCUCGCCUCCAAUAGCAUCAGCAGUGUGGUCGUCUUUGAUCCAAAGGAGACUGAACACCUAGUCUACCUUCAGGCAGCCUUAUUGGAGUCGCUCAGGUUGUACCCACCAGGCCCGAUCGAGCGCAAGGUGGUGCUAGCCGACGAUGUGCUCCCAAGUGGUCACCAGUUGUGCUCCGGUGAAACCAUCCUGAUCUCCAUCUAUGCCAUGGGUAGAAUGGAAUCCCUGUGGGGCAAGGAUUGCCAUGUGUACCGUCCGGAGAGGUGGCUGUCCGAGGACGGUGCUAAACUGCGUUACGUGCCGUCCAAUAAAUUCAUGGCGUUUAACACAGGGCCGAGGAUGUGCCUUGGCAAGGACAUAGCAAUUGCGCAGAUGAAGACCAUCGUUGCCGCGGUGGUGUGGAACUUUGAUAUGGAGGUGUUGGAAGGGCAGAGCAUCGAGCCAAAGCUGUCGUGCAUUCUUCAAUUGAAGAACGGGCUCAUGAUGAUGGUUAAGCAGAGAGAGUAAUCAAUGUGACAUGGAAUAAGCUAGGUGCAAUGCAACUACAGAUCGACUCAGUCCUGGCAUAUAUGGUUUGAACAAAAUAGUUAAAUCCAAACUUAUAAUGAAGUAAAUGGAGGCGUAACAUGUAUUUUCGUCAUUAAAUAAAGUCUACGGACGCCGUCGUUUGGCCAUCUGAAAGCUGGGACCAUACCCAACUACAGACUCUUUGAUUUCAGUACCGAUAGUUUGUACUACUCCCUCUUUCUAAAUAAGUGAUGUUUUCAGAUUAUCUUAAGCUUAUUUGAAACUUUGAUGGCAUAUUAAUUGUUUUUCUAUGUGUAAAAGGUUUGGAUAAAUUUAUACGAGUAUAUUUAUGUUUAAUAGUAACUUCAUCAAAAGCAUCCGUUCACUUUAUGAAUAUUUUGUAACAAAAACUAGCCAUCACAGUUAUGUUUUUGAGGUAAUUUCAAUAUCAAAAACUUCAUUUAUGAGACCGGAGGAACUACAUACAAAUACAAUGAAUGUAAAUAUAAUAUGUCCUCCGAUGUCCUGGACUUCAUAAGUUGUAUCUGCAAUACUUAAGAGUGAAACCAAAGAGGGCGAUGUCAAUUUGAGUGUAUCUAAAGAGACUUAAAACAUUCAAACGAUGAAUAUAAAUUGUAUCAAAUUAUAGUCCCUAUUAUACUUAUGUAAUUAGUACAAUUUAUUUAAGUUGGAACAUACUUGUUUUUACCGUGUCUUGAUCCAAGUGCGCAUGUGGGUUUUGCAUGUUUUUCCUGGCAGGAGGCACCCUUGGUUACUAAUGCGGUGUCUGGAACCUUGGUUACUCCUUUUUAUUGAUUUCCUUCCUUAAGCUACCUGAGCACCCUAGAAUAGUGAUGGGCUGCCAAGGUAUUGGAUCAAAUGAAUUCAGACACCUCUAUGUAUUUAAGGUAUUGGUGUGAGUAGCGUGUAACGACUGAUUCUGUGCUGAGUCGUACCAACCAUAUCGAGGCUUUGUGCACGCUAGCUCAUUCAGGGUGAAAGUCUGCCCCGUCCGUACAUGAUAAGCUCGAGAGUCGAGACAUUGAUUCGGCAGCUGCCGUACGUGUAUGUUUUUGUCCUUCCAUUUGCUGUACGUGUACGUGCUCGUUCCGUUGGUGCUGUGGACGGAGAGCGGCUACUUAGACAUGGACUUCUGCCGAAUCCGCAUGAUGGACAACGACAACCAGGCCCUCGACGCCGUCUUGCCCCGCGAUGAGAACGGCUGCGGCGUGCGAGACGGCACGGCCAUGACGAUCACAGAGGAGAUCUACUGGAGCGACGAGGCCAACAAGACCUGCGACGGGCUUUACGCCGAGCUCACCUGCCGCGUCUACUUCAAGGCCCACGAAGGCUUCAACCUUACCUUGCGCGACGGUGCCAUCUGCCUCUUGCCCACCGACGCCGAUGUCAAGUACCAGCACCAGCACUGGAUCUAGACCCACCUUACGCCGGCUCCCUUCCUCCUCCCUCCCUCCUUUCUUCUUCCUCCAGACCCACCCGAGCCCGGGGUUUUUGGGCCCCCCCCCCCCCCCCCCGCCCCCAAAUCCACCCAAAAUCCGGCGAUUUCGGUGGGGGAAAGUAGUGGAAAUCGAUCCCUGCUUCGUGUGGAAGGUAUUCCCCUACUUUUUCUCGUGUUUUACCGUUGCAUUUGGUAGAUCGCAGGAUGUUUAGGUGAUUUAGGGUUAGGUAGAUGAUUUCAAUUUUGAAUGAAAUGCAAUGGUGUUUUGUGUUAGAUGAUACGUAGUUCAGACGCAAUUGAGUCUCUGCCCGCGAUAUUGACGUGUAGAACUUGUCGAUUUAGGUAUAUAUUCAUUGAAUUGUGUAGUUGAUAUGACAUGUAUAUUUUUUGUUUGCAAUUUGUCCAAUAUGUGUAAUGUGUCUAGUUGAUAUGUUGAAUAUGUGCAAUGUGUAGUGUAUAUGACAUGGUGAAAUGUUUGUAUUUUGUAGAUGGAUCGUUUAGUUCGUUUUUUUCAUGGUGGUGUUGUGAAACAAAAUGGGGAGUUAGAGAAUAUGAAUGAGUCAAUUGCAUUCUUCGAGGGUCCUCCAAGUUUUAGUGAUUUAGUUGACCGUGUAAUGAGGAAGUAUGGAUGUAGAGUGGAUGAGAUCAGUUUGAGAGGUCGUUUUGAUUGUGGGAAAGCUAGAGCUCAUUAUGUUCUCAUGAAGUUAGCAUCCGAUGCGAAUUGGAAGCACUAUAAGGAUGUAGUUCACGAAGCUAAUGUUGCAUGUUUGGAGGUGUUGACGCCAGAUUUUGACACGUAUGAAAUCGGCGUCAGGAAAGGAAGAAAUCAAGAGAUGCGGCAAGACACGGAGGUCACGAUUGUAUUACUCUAGGGAGCACACCGUCAAAAUAUGGGAAUCAAGCUUUCAACCUUACCUUGAUCCGUCACAAUGGCCGGCAUAUGAAGGGGUAGGGUACGUGCCUAACCCCAAUUUGAUGAGAAAUAAAGUAGGAAGGAGGCAGAAGAAGCGUUUCACAGGUGACAUGGACGUGUCGGAAGAGAGGUUUUCUGCAGAUUAUGGCACUGGUGAUUUUGAUGUGGACAAGUCGGAAAAUCGUUGCUCGAAGUGCCCCAAGAUCAUUAGGAAUUACACGUGCCGCAAUAGAAAAAUCUAAAGGCACGAAAUCUAGGGGGAAUAGUAAUAGUCCGCGUUCUUCGAACAAUAGGGUAUGCGCGUUGCUUGUAUUUUGCAUGGUUAUCAUUUUAUCUUUUUUUUAUAGUAGUAAAUUAUCAUAGUUACCGUACUUAUCAUAUAAUGAAGCUUUUUACUAACGAUCUUGUUUGUUGUUUCUUUAGGAUGGCGGCCCUGGCGUACCCUCUUCUUGAGUCGGCUUACGGCUUGCAGCACCGUGCCCACCACCUCGCGGACCUAAAUGAGGUACUACAUCAGUUAUUAACAAUGGUUGGUAAUUUAUGCUAAUGAAUGCAUACCUUAGGAUGAUAAUUGCAAGAUUUUUGUAUGAAAUGUUCUUACAAAUUGAGGAUGUGCCUGUCGUUACUAUUUGCUUGUGUACAAUGUAAACAAUUUCAUACUGGAAAUGUCAUUUAUAUCAUAUUUGUGUUACUUACCACUUUAGUAGCCCUUUAUUCUCAAAUGCAUUGACUUCUCAUUUUUGUAAUAAUCUUAUAAUGUUUUGCAGGAUUUGAAACCACUCGGGGCUAAAGUGCACUCACCACUUAGGUGGGAUGAGCGGUACGCGGAGUACUUGCAGAGAGCUGGUUUUUUGGAUCUCGCUGUUCAGGUUGUCGCGGGUCUCCCUCCAAUGGACGGACCGCUGUUGACCUCUAUGGUUGACAGGUGGCGUCCGGAGACUCACACGUUCCACCUCCCGUUCGGAGAGAUGACCAUCAUAAUGCAGGAUGUCACUAUGAUACUCGGUCUUCCACUGGAUGGGCAGCCAGUGACGGGAAUUAUACAGAAUGAGAAUUGGCAUGAUAUGGUUGAAAUGCAUAUUGGGAUUAGGCCGCCAGAGCCAGAGGACGGAGACAACUCCAAGAAGACCUCCGGUGUCAGCUCGGCAUGGUUGAGGGAGCACUUCAACGUUUGUCCUCCGGGAGCAAAUGACGAGGUUGUGCAGCGAUAUGCUUGAGUUUGGCUAUGGCACUUUGUUAGCACAUUCCUCCUCCCAGAUGCAGCUGGGAAUACAGUGUCUUGGAUGGUUCUCCCCAUUUUGGGUCAGCAUUAGGACAACAUAGCCCUUUACAGUUAGGGCUCAGUGGUUCUUGUCUGGCUGUACAGGCAGCUAUGUGAGGCUUGCAGGCGCACCAUGAGGGAUUCCAAUGUUGGAGGGUGCACCUAUAUGCUGCCGAUUUGGAUUUGGGAGCGAAUGCCCGUGGGUUGACCUUCCCGUCUCCGUGUCGAUGUAAGUCACAACGGCUAAUUCCCUUUUCUGCUUUAAUGUUCGGAAAACUGUUGUAUCAUGUGACUAAUUGGACUUACUUGCAAUUUCAGCAAUGGCAUCAAGACGAUGCUCAUCCCACAUUCUAUCAUGUGUGGAAGCAUGUGCGGCCCGUUCGUGGCAAUCCUGAUAGGCGCUACAGGGCCUACACAAACGAGUUUGAUGUUGUCACGCAGUACCAGGUAAUUUGCUCACCAAAGUUUGUUAAGCUCACUUCCGUAUAAUGAUAGAUGAAAUAAGUAUUGUGUAAAAAUUUUUGAAGGUUGAAUGGAAACCGUACGACCGUGAGCAGCUAAGCCACAUCGUAUUUUCACCGAUGUGCUACAGAGAUAGAGAGCUGUGGAGGUGCACGACGCCAAUGAUAUUGUACUACGCCGUAGAGUUUCAUAUGCCGCAUAGGGUGAUGCGGCAGUUUGGGAGGAUGCAACCGUGCCCUCCUUUGAAAUUAUCGACUUCGCAGCAGCUGCACAGGUAUGCAGGAAUAAAUAACUAUUGGAGGUUAUUCGAUACACGAACUGAACAUGUUAUACUAAUACUUCACUAAUCUCUGAUGCAGGAUCGACCGCAGAAAGAGGUAUAAGGAGAAUGAUUGGAGGGUGAAGCAUGGUCAGUACCUCGUCAUGUGGGAGAAUAAGCAAGGAUGCGAUCCUGAAGGUGGACCGUACUGGCGACCAGGACCAAACAAUGAGUACAUACGAUGGUACUGUACUUCGACGAGAACUAAAGUGAAACCAUCUUGGAGUAAUGUGCCCAUUGAGGAUGCACCGUCUGACUUAGACGCCGACACAACUGAUGCGUACGACAUGGUGACACGCUAUGGGACACAGCCUGAGCGUGCACCUCUCCACGACUACAUGGUAAGAUUUUGGUUUGUAAUCAUAGUAUCAUAACAUUGAUCACUCAUGGAAUGAAAACUAUGCAUACAGGGACAGCAGCUUGCAAGGCUCUCAAACAAGGCGGGUGUGGUUAUGGAGCACGCCGUCGGAUCCGGUGAUGGUCUGCUUCGUCAGUUUGCAGAGGUAGAAGCCCAACCUAAUUUUCACUUAUACUCAUACUACCUCUGUAACCCUAUCAAUAUCAUAGUCGUGAAUAUAUGCUGCUUACAUGUUGCAGAGGGUUCGGAAAAACUGCAGGCGAAUGGCCAUGAGGAUGAACUGCAUGUCGUCCUCAGAUGUGCACCACGGGGGCAAUGGCCAGGGUACUUCUUCGGGAUCACGUCGGACUCCAUUGGUGACUCCCCCCAAGGCUGCAACACCGUCCACCACUGCAGGUCCUAGCAGGAGAUCACGAGGCAAGGAACCCGCAUCCCCUCAGGCAAGCGAGGACUCUGAAGGUGAGCAGUCUGAGGAUGACGACCCUACAUAUGGUGAGGAACUGGAGAUUUCUGGCAUGAUCGAUGCUCCACCUGUGACUCAGACACAGGGUGAGUCCAGCCAGGUACAUUCACAAAUUUCCCCAAAUUCAAUUCUAGAUUGUUAAUGUUCACUCCCGAAGUGUCAUACAAAUUUUAUGCUUUGUGCCCAAUUAUUCCAUAGGAACCUGCACCUCCUACCCGGAUGCCACGCCGGCGGUGUCGUUCCCGGGACCACACCGAUGUUGGCAGCGCCAAUGUGCUGCCCACGCAUGCAAGGAGGGAGCAUCGCCCAAGAGAUCCUAUUAACCCUCCGGUUGAGCGGCGGUCACGACACUGAACGUUACAUGUCUCAAGUGUGAUGCACUAGGUGUACAAUUUAUGUUAUAUGUGUGUGCAAGACUAUUGGAACUGUCACGUGUGUAAAAGACUAAGUUGGUUGUUAGGUUUAUUUCUGUCACGUGUGUAAAAGACUAAGUUGGAUGUUAGGUUUAUUUCUGUCCGUACAAUGUUAUAUGUUUGCUCCAUGACAUACUUGUGUUUCGUGUAUUUUUUCGUAAAUGUUCGCACUGGUAGGCUAUCGCGUACUAGACGAGAUACGGAAUAAUUUCGUGGUUCAAACUAGUUUAAGAAAAAUCAGAACAAAAAAAGCUAUUUAAGUUUCAUCAGCCGGAUUGCUGGGGCAGCUGAGUUGGCGGAAGUCUAGCAGCCCAGAAACCUACUGAAACUUUAAUGGAUUUGGCGCGGGAGGGCACCCCUGCCACGCCAGGCGGAGUGGCGCGGCAGCCCCCAUCCACCAAAACCUACUGAAAACUUUGUGCAAUUGGCGCGGCAGCGCACUCUUGCCGCGCCACUCUGCUUGGCGUGGCAAGCCCCUUCCCCCCCCCAAAAAAAAACCUACUGAAACUUUGUUUCGCUUGGCGCGGCAGCGCACUCCUGCCGCGCCAGGCGGAGUGGCGCGGCAAGGCCCGCCCCCCCGGAACCUACUGAAACUUUGCCAAUAUACCACACUUGCAUCUAUCACUAGGAGAGGACACACAUGGCCACGGUGCCUUUCCACUCUCGAACUCCCGCACUUGCUCCUCCGUUGGCCACAUUGCCAUUGGACCGUAUAUAUACUCAUUGAAAUCACACAACGGCCACGCAUCCUGCAAAAAAACGGUGACGUGAACUACUCAUACGUAAAGUAACUAGAAAACGCUGCUCCAACUUCCAAGCAAUAACAUCAAGUAAAAGUAUGAACAAUAUACUGCAAAAUUAUAACUGCUAGCUACACGACAUACUAAUAUUCUCAUACUAAACUUACAUGAGUCUUUAGCAAGCAUCGAAAGAAUGGAGUAAACUUAGGUGGAUCCUCUAAGUUAGGACGCAUAAGCUUAGCAGGAACACCACACUUGCAUAUGGGAGGAUCCCUCACACGCCUACAAGCAGCCUCCUGCUUCUCCUCCUCGGUCAUCCUAGGUGGGUUUGGUGGAGGAGGAACCCAACGCCUAAAUUGAUGGUAUGGUUUAAGCUCUGUACUAUGAUAUGGGAAUAGGCGGAUCCUAGGAUCAUAUUUGUCGGGUCCAUCAAUCUACUGAAAGAAAUCACAAGGUGCGGCAGGCAUUGGAUCAAAAGUCCACUUGCAUACAUAGAAGGCUCUUCCGGCUGUCUUUGGAUGACUUGAUUGUUUCACCUCUGCUUGCACGCCACAUCUACAAAGAGGUACCGGAAGGGCAGGAGGUACGGGACCAGCACCAUUGGACUCGCCCACAUAACGAACAUACCACCUACGCCGCUUGUAUUCACAACCAAACGACAUCAUCUCACCUAGACAUCAAGUGCCACAAAAUUAAUACACAAAUAAACUUUACACAUGUAAUCCAAACGAGCUAUAUACAACAUUUCGAUAAAAUGUAAACACUCCAUCUAUACAAUACAAACACUGAAACAUAUCAACUAUAGCAACUAUAUUAAGGAACAAAAAUAUGAGACAAAUUAAUUGAACAUAUAAAAAAAAUACAUGUCAUGUAAACCACACAAUUGGAUGAAUAUAUACCUAUAUCGAAAUAUUCAACAAGUUCUACACAUCAAUAUCGCGGGCAGAGACUCAAUUGCGUCUGAACUACGUAUCAUCUAACACAAAACACCAUUGCAUUUCAUUCAAAAUUGAAAUCAUCAACCUAACCCUAAGUCACCUAAACAUCCUCCGAUCUACCAAAUGCAACGGUAAAACAUGAGAAAAAGUAUGGGGAUACCUUCCACACGGAGCAGGGAUCGAUUUCCACAACUUACCCCCACCGAAAUCGCCGAAUUUUGGGUGGAGUUGGGGGUGGGGCGGCGGGGGGCAGCGCAACAAGCUAAGGGCACUGGUCUGUCUGGAGGAGGAAGAAAGGAGGAAGGGAGGAGGAAGGGAGCCGGCGCGCUGCUGUAGCGUAGGCUCUGCCGCGCCAGCCGCCAGGCGCCCGCCCACGUCAGCGCGCACCUGGCGCGGCGAGUCACCGCGCCAGCGUGGCAAGGCCCACCGCGCCAGUGCAUGCGACGCGGCAGAGGCUGCCUGCCGCGCCAGGCGGUCUGGCACGGCCAAAAGGGUUAUCUGCCGCAAAUAUAGUCCCGCGGAGGUUAUUUUUAAAAUAAAUAAAAAAAGGUUAAAAAAAAAGAGAACAAAAAGAAUCAAGUCAGAUUACGGAGAGGUUCGAGUGACUUAAUUUAUUAAAGGACCACUUCACUGGACGGAUCUCCUAAUAUCCAACCUAAUUUUAAUUAUGAAAUAAUUGAAGCAUAUCGAUCUGUCAUGAACAACAAUUAUAUCAGGAUUGAAUUAGAAGCCACUGUUGAAAUUGCAAAUGACCAUCAACCAAACCUUAUUAUUAUAAGAUAACAGUAGUAAAACUGGCUUCUUUUUUCUUGUCUGUAAGAUGCUCUACUGGUGUAUCAUCAUAAGAAAAAAAUCCUAAGAAUGGUAGUGAAGAUGAGCAGUAGUACCAGAGGUCGAUUUACCUAUUUGAUAGCCCUUUGCCACCUGUAGAGCUCUAGUGCACUGAUUGUUUCCUUCUGUGUUUCAUCCUGGGCAACAACAGGAAAAUUGUCAAAGGAUCAUAAAUAAAAACAAACACACAAUGCAUGUUGUUAAUAUUACUAUUGGAAAACUAAUAAAAUGUCAAGCAGUAGUAAUUUCAAGUGGCAAUAGCAGGAAAAUUGUCAAAGGAUGAUAAAUAAAAACAAACACACAAUGCAUGCUGUUAAUAUUAAACUCUAAAUCUUUGGAUUUCAUUCCAUCAUCUUGACUUUCCAAUAUCACAACAUCAUUUGAAUUUUCUUCAGUGACAUGAUUUUGUACAGAAUUGAUACCAAUUUCUGCUGUGUUUGUUUUUCUCAUGCACUGGAGUCACAAUCACAAGUCAUUGAUGCAAAUGAAAAGAGAAGGAAAAGAGAUAGAGAGCGUUAUGCCCAAAUGACAGAUGAAGAAAAGCAGGAUAAACUGAAAAAACAACGUGAAGCCUAUCAUAGAAGGAAAGGUAGAGAUGCAACACGGUACCAAAAAAAUACGCAAAAGAGAGACAGAAAUAUGCAAAUAUGCAGCUAGAACAAAAGAAAGCUAGAAUAGAACAAGCCAUAACUAACCGUGAAAUGAGGAGCAGCAAAACAACGAAAGGUUCAAUUGCAAUGGAGAAUCCUGCAUAUAUUGAAACAGAUAUGUUAGUUGAAGUCAGUACAUCUAGCCUUAAUGUUAAACACAGGAAACAUGUGACGCCAGGAGAAAGGCAAACAUUGCUAGCCCGUCAAAAUCAAAAAAUCAUAAAAAAACAAAAGGGGACAGUUUAUUCAUCAUCAGAAGAAGAUGAAACCAUGAGCGAAGAGGACAAUGACAUAGAAAUGCAAAAACAGGCAAAAAUCAUGAAUCUCGGUAAUAUUCUAAAUUCUAAACAAAACUUUCGCAUUUCAAUACAAUAUAUGGAAUACUUUAACAUUUGAAUAGACUACAUACAUCCAUAUAUUGUACUAACAAUCUCAAUCAAACAGAAAUACCCUCUUCAGUAUGGACAACCAUAGAAGGCAUUGAUGCCCCAAAACAACUAACAAAUGAUGAAGAUAAGGGUAAGGUUAUCAACUCCAAAGUAAAUUCUCACAUGAUACAAAAGAAACAAAAAUAUGUAUUCACAAAAAUCUGUACAGAUAAUGAUGGAGUGAUAUUUGAACAACACACGAACGAGGAUGAUUACAUGUUCUCAUGUCAAGGUAUGCUUCAAUACUUUUAAAAAAAUCCUUCCAUCAUUAUGUUAAUACUUUCCUAAAUUUUUUAUAUAAAAAAAAUUCAACAAAAUUGGACACAGAUGUAGAUAUCGAAGUCAGAGAAGAUGAAGAAACUGCUACAACGAUCUCAGAUCCAUAUGACAUUGUCUACAGCAACAUACCAGACGACACAAACAUGCUGAAAAAUAAAGAAAAUUGCAUAUACUGUAAUGCAAAGAAAUUUGAGUACGAAUCUGAGGGGUUAUGCUGCAGAAAAGGACAGAUUAGAUUAGCCAAUCAAGAGACACCUCCUGAACUCAUGAGACUUUGGACAAGCAACGAUUCUGAUGCAAGACAUUUUCGGAACAAUAUAAGAUUUUUCAAUGGACACUUCUCAUUUACAUCUCUUUAUUGCCACCUAGACAGUGCGACCACUAACAUGAAAAAAGCUGGUAUUUACACCUUUCAUGUAUCACAAUAUACAAUCAUUUGGAAAUAGUCGCUCAGAUCCAAAGCAUCUAGAGUUGUACUUCUACGACGAUGAUCCAAGCCUAGAGCAUUAGUAUCGAUGUUGCCGUGAAGAAAAGUACAAGAAAGACAAACAUGUAGUCACAAUUUUAACACAAAUUCUACGUGAAAACCCAUACUCUAAACAGUUUAGAAGUUUGGGACAGAAUGAAAAACUUGAUGACUACAGGCUGAUCUUGAACCUUGACCAAAGAUUAGACCAAAGAACAUACAAUGCACCAAUAACUUUAGAGGUAGCUGCAGUGUGGAUCGAGGGAAAUGAAAGAAGAAAUACCUUUGACAAGAAUGUAAUACUACAUGGAAACAACAACGAAAUACAAGGCAUCAAAUCAUACUAUGGCUGCUAUGAUCCAUUGUCUUAUCCUCUAUUCUUUCCAAGAGCUGAACUCGGUUGGCAUUGAAAUAUCCCAAGGGCCAAUACAAUAUUGGAAGAAUUGAGAAAUGAUAAUGUUGAUCGCAACAAUAGUGACAACGACCCAGGUUAGAAUUUCAUAUACUUUUGUCUUCUAAAUUUAGUUUACUAAUAUGAAACAACUACAUAAAUAUUCCUCUAACUUUAGCGUUCCAAUUCUUACACAGAUUCAAGCCGUAAGCUGUGGGUAACCAUGAGAGAAUAUUACUGCUAUAAAUUCCAUGCAAAACCAAGCAUAUUCAACCCAAUAUUGCAUGGUGGUAGACUUUUUCAGCAGUUUGCCGUUGAUACACACAUCAAGAUUGAGAGCUCCAGAUUGGACUUCAUAUGGCAUCAUCAGAAAGAAAUAAGGGCAGAUCUAUACAAAGGCCUCCUGGAUAGCAUUCAAGAAGGAGAACAAAAGGGAGAUAAAGUAGGAAAAUGAACGGUGCUAGCAUCAUCGUUUAUUGGAGGGCCAAGAGAUAAAUUGCGACGAUAUCUAGAUGCUAUGGCUUUAGUAAGCAAAUAUGGAAAGCCAGACAUAUUCCUAACAAUGACCUGCAACCCAAACUGGGAAGAGAUCACCCGAGAACUAGAGUUUGCACAAACACCUCAAGAUCCCCCAGAUCUCGUGGUUAGGGUUUUCGGGGCAAAACUGGAAGAAAUGAAGAAUCAAUUGUUUAAAAAGCACAUUCUUGGAAAGGUAAAGGCAUAUACCUAUGUUGUAGAGUUCCAAAAGAGAGGCCUACCUCAUGCACACUUCUUGCUGAUAAUGACCGGAAAAUACAAGUAUACAUGUCCAGAGCAAUAUGACAGAAUAAUCUAUGCCGAGCUGCCAGACAAGCACGAGUAUCCAGAUCUAUAUAAAAUGGUCAUCAAACAUAUGAUGCAUGGUCCUUGCGGCAUAUUAAACAGAAAUUGCCCUGCACAAAGAAUCGAGC